rnacentral:lncRNA from 1 species
CACCACCACCUGAAGAUCAAGCCUGAGAGUCGAUCUAGUACUAUGCAUUUUCUGUGAACUUUUUGGUAACUUGGUGCCAAAGGGGGAGAAAAAUAAAUAGAUCAUAGGCUUCGAGAGAGAGUGUUGCCUUUUUGUUCUCUCUUGCUUUGGUGGUUAAACUUUGUUUGCUUUUGAUUGCUUGAGAUACUAUGCUAUUAUCUGUGAGACAUUGAUGAUCAUGUAUUUGAUCAUAAGCUACACUUAUGCUUGUUAGAUGAUAUUAUCUUACUUAUCCUUGUAUGACCAUUCACUUUGCUUGGUGAUGAGUGCAUGUAUUUAAUCUUUAUUAUUUUGAGCGCUCCACCAAGAUGUAUGUGACAUGGAAGAGUAACCCAUGAGCCUAAUUCCUUGUGCAUUUGCAGUCCAAAGCAAAUCUUAAACUAUGCACAAAUUUAGGGGGAGCUCUUGCUUAUCACAUACUUCUCAAAGCGACGAUGUUUUUCAAUCUUAUUAUCAUUUGUCGAAGCUUUGAUCUAUAUGUUGUCAUCAAUUACCAAAAAAGGGGGAGAUUGAAAGUGCAACUAUCCCUAGGUGGUUUUGGUAAUUCAUAACAACAUAUAGCUCAUUGAGCUAAUGCUAUUUCAAGACAAAUAUUUCAGGAAAGCUCAAUGAAUGGCAUGGCAUGGAUGAUGAAAGUGGAUCCCUCAAAAUAUCAAGGACAAAGGAUUGGCUCAAGCUCAAAAGCUCAAGACUCUUCAUUUUACAUUUUAGUGAUCCAAGAUCACAUUGAGUCUAUAGGAAAAGCCAAUACUAUCAAGGAGGGAUGAGGUGUUGCUUAAUGAGCCUCUUGCUUCAAGUGCUUAGUGAUAUGCUCCAAAAACCCUCAACUACUUUCUCACAUCCACAUAUGACCUAAACCCAAAGUCAAACUCGGCCAUACCGAUUCUUUCUAUCCGGCGCCACCGAGUUCAAAUGUCAUAGCCACUGCCACAAACCCUAGGCAAAUCGGUCUUACCGAUAGGGAUCUCGGUCUCACCGAGAUGGGAUUGUAAUCUCUCUGUUUCCCUUCAUAACGUUUCGGUCUAACCGAAGUGAGCGAUUGGUCCCACCGAGAUUGCAAUGUAAACUCCCCGUUUCCCUUUCGUAACAUUUCGGUCUCACCGAAAUGAGCGAAUCGGUCCCACCGAGUUUACCUGACCAACUCUCUGGUUAGAUUAUUACCAAAAUCGGUCUCACCGAGUUUGUGUAAUCGGUCUCACCGAGAUUACGUUAUGCCCUAACCCUAACCAUAUCGGUCCUACCGAGUUGCAUGUCGGUCCCACCGAAAAUCCUAACGGUCACUAGAUUUGCUGAAUUGGUCCGACCAAGUUUACCAAUUCGGUCCCACCGAGUUUGGCAAGUUGUGUGUAACGGUUAGAUUUUGUGUGGAGGCUAUAUAUACCCCUCCACCUCCUCUUCAUUCGAGAGAGAGCCAUCAGAAUGAACCUACACUUCCAACUUACCAUUUCUGAGAGAGAACUACCUACUCAUGUGUUGAGGCCAAGAUAUUCCAUUCCUACCAUAUGAAUCUUGAUCUCUAGCCUUCCCCAAGUUGCUUUCCACUCAAAUCUUCAUUCCACCAAAUCCAAAUCCUAUGAGAGAGAGUUGAGCAUUGGGGAGACUAUCAUUUGAAGCACAAGAGCAAGGAGUUCAUCAUGAACGCACCAUUUGUUACUUCUUGGAGAGUGGUGUCUCCUAGAUUGGCUAGGUGUCACUUGGGAGCCUCCGACAAGAUUGUGGGGUUGAACCAAGGAGUUUGUAAGGGCAAGGAGAUCGCCUACUUCGUGAAUAUCUACCGCUAGUGAGGCAAGUCCUUCGUGGGCGACGGCCAUGGUGGGAUAGACAAGGUUGCUUCUUCGUGGACCCUUCGUGGGUGGAGCCCUCCGUGGACUCGCGCAACCAUUACCCUUCGUGGGUUGAAGUCUCCAUCAACGUGGAUGUACGAUAGCACCACCUAUCGGAACCACGACAAAAACAUCCGUGUCUCCAAUUGUAUUUGAAUCCUCCAAACCCUUCCCUUUACAUUCUUGCAAGUUGCAUGCUUUAAUUUCCGCUGCUCAUAUACUCUUUGCAUGCUUGCUUGAAUUGUGUGAAGAUUGCUUGACUUGUCCAAAGAUAGCUAAAAUCUGCCAAAGUCUAAAAUUGGGAAAAGGUUAAGUUUUUAAUUGGUCAAGUAGUCUAAUCACCCCCCCCCCCUCUAGACAUACUUCAAGGUCCUACAAGUGGUAUGAGAGCUUUGGUCUCCAUUUGCUUUGAUUUCAAUCUUAUUAUCAUUUGUCGAAGCUUUGAUCUAUAUGUUGUCAUCAAUUACCAAAAAAAGGGGAGAUUGAAAGUGCAACUAUCCCUAGGUGGUUUUGGUAAUUCAUAACAACAUAUAGCUCAUUGAGCUAAUGCUAUUUCAAGACAAAUAUUUCAGGAAAGCUCAAUGAAUGCCAUGGCAUGGAUGAUGAAAGUGGAUCCCUCAAAAUAUCAAGGACAAAGGAUUGGCUCAAGCUCAAAAGCUCAAGACUCUUCAUUUUACAUUUUAGUGAUCCAAGAUCACAUUGAGUCUAUAGGAAAAGCCAAUACUAUCAAGGAGGGAUGAGGUGUUGCUUAAUGAGCCUCUUGCUUCGAGUGCUUAGUGAUAUGCUCCAAAAACCCUCAACUACUUUCUCACAUCCACAUAUGACCUAAACCCAAAGUCAAACUUGGCCAUACCGAUUCUUUUUAUCCGGCGCCACCAAGUUCAAAUGUCAUAGCCACUGCCACAAACCCUAGGCAAAUCGGUCUUACCGAUAGGGAUCUCGGUCUCAUCGAGAUGGGAUUGUAAUCUCUUUGUUUCCCUUCAUAACGUUUCGGUCUAACCGAAGUGAGCGAUCGGUCCCACCGAGAUUGCAAUGUAAACUCCCAAUUUCCCUUUCGUAACAUUCCGGUCUCACCGAAAUGAGCGAAUCGGUCCCACCGAGUUUACCUGACCAACACUCUGGUUAGCUUAUUACCAAAAUCGGUCUCACCGAGUUUGUGUAACCGGUCUCACCGAGAUUACAUUAUGCCCUAACCCUAACCAUAUCGGUCCUACCGAGUUGCAUGUCAGUCCCACCGAAAAUCCUAACGGUCACUAGAUUUGCUGAAUCGGUCCGACCGAGUUUACCAAUUCGGUCCCACCGAGUUUGGCAAGUUGUGUGUAACGGUUAGAUUUUGUGUGGAGGCUAUAUAUACCCCUCCACCUUCUCUUCAUUCGAGAGAGAGCCAUCAGAAUGAACCUACACUUCCAACUUACCAUUUCUGAGAGAGAACUACCUACUCAUGUUUUGAGGCCAAGAUAUUCCAUUCCUACCAUAUGAAUCUUGAUCUCUAGCCUUCCCCAAGUUGCUUUCCACUCAAAUCUUCUUUCCACCAGAUCCAAAUCCUAUGAGAGAGAGUUGAGAGUUGGGGAGACUAUCAUUUGAAGCACAAGAGCAAGGAGUUCAUCAUCAACGCACCAUUUGUUACUUCUUGGAGAGUGGUGUCUCCUAGAUUGGCUAGGUGUCACUUGGGAGCCUCCGACAAGAUUGUGGAGUUGAACCAAGGAGUUUGUAAGGGCAAGGAGAUCGCCUACUUCAUAAAGAUCUACCGCUAGUGAGGCAAGUCCUUCGUGGGCGACGGCCAUGGUGGGAUAGACAAGGUUGCUUCUUCGUGGACCCUUCGUGGGUGGAGCCCUCCGUGGACUCGCGCAACCGUUACCCUUUGUGGGUUGAAGUCUCCAUCAACGUGGAUGUACGAUAGCACCACCUAUCGGAACCACGACAAAAACAUUCGUGUCUCCAAUUGCGUUUGAAUCCUCCAAACCCUUCCCUUUACAUUCUUGCAAGUUGCAUGCUUUAAUUUCCGCUGCUCAUAUACUCUUUGGAUGCUUGCUUGAAUUGUGUGAAGAUUGCUUGACUUGUACAAAGAUAGCUAAAAUCUGCCAAAGUCUAAAAUUGGGAAAAGGUUAAGUUUUUAAUUGGUCAAGUAGUCUAAUCACCCCCCCCCCCUCUAGACAUACUUCAAGGUCCUACAUGUGGUAUCAAAGCUUUGGUCUCCAUUUGCUUUGAUUUCCAUAGCUUUUGGUGGUCAUAGCCUUGGUUUCACAACCUAGGAGAGUAUGGCGUCUACCGAGGGAAAUUAUCACCGUAGAGAUCCUUACUUUGAUGGUACUAAUUUUGCUAGUUGGAAGCAUAAGAUGAAAAUGCAUAUUCUCGGACAUAACCCCGCCGUUCGGGCUAUUGUGUGUAUUGGCUUGCAAGGUGAAUUCUUUGAUGGGAGAGAGCCAAACCGUGAAGCUAGCGCGGAAGAAUUGAAGAUGCUGCAAUACAAUGCUCAAGCUUGUGAUAUCCUCUUCAAUGGCUUGUGCCCCGAAGAAUUCGACAAAAUCAGCCGUCUUGAGAAUGCAAAGGAAAUUUGGGAUACUUUGAUUGAUAUGCAUGAAGGUACCGACUCCGUCAAGGAAUCCAAGUUGGAUGUGCUCCAAAGUCAACUUGACAAGUUCAAAAUGAAGGAUGGUGAAGGUGUCGCUGAAAUGUACUCUAGGCUUGCUCUUAUCACAAAUGAGAUUGCCGUCUUAGGGAGUGAAGAGAUGACCGACAGAUUCAUCAUCAAGAAGAUCCUAAGAGCAUUGGAUGGAAAGUAUGAUACUGUGUGCACCUUGAUCCAAAUGAUGCCAAAUUACUAAGAGCAUUGGGAUUAUUUGGGUUUCGUAAGGUGACUUACACAACAUUUUUGUUUACAUGCAUAAACAUUUUAUUAGUUAAAUCAAAGGUCAAAACUUGGCGCAAAAUGCAAAGGGGACCAAUAAACUAGUAAACAUCAAACUUCUCUCAUUUGGCCCCAACUAGAGGUCCAGUGAGAUGACUAUACUGCACCGGCACGGAGGGGGACGCAGCUUCAUUGACUUACUACAACUGCAUUUGGGUGAAUGACACGUGGGCCCAAGGGGUGGCUAGCCCACCUAUCAUACAGCCAAAGGCAGGUGCAGUAGAGGGCCGAGGAGUAGUACGAAAUCCUACGCACCUAUGCAUGCUAACCAAGGGCAAGAGUGAUCGCUCAAAUCGCAAGAUCAGUUGACUAGAAGCUAAGCUAGACCCAUGGAGGCGAUGAGCGUGAGCAUCAGCCGGCUGUGCCAGAUGGUCCAUGACGCCGGCCUGCGGCCCGACACCGAGGAACGUCUCCAGGCAUUGCUUGAGGCCGCCAGGGCGAGGGGCCGCUUGGACGACAACUUCGUCUCCUUGUUCGACGAGGUCCUCGUCGGUUUCCUCGACAAGUUCACCGUCAUCAAGAAGCUCGCGGAUGACUUUGACGUACGCCUCCAGCCGACGCGCCCAGGCGCUGCGAUGCCCGCCACCCUCAAUGGCCACUAUGGUGACAACCUCUUCGACGCACUGGUGGCCCUGCGACUGCCCGCCGUCGCGCCGGAGAAUGUCCACCUCGAGGUCGCGCUCACCGUGCAGCACCUGGCGCAGCAAGACACCAUCGACAUAAUCACCCAUGUCUACGCACAAAUCGUCCACAAGGACUACUACAUGCAAGAGGAGGAUGAUAGGACGCUAGCCUUCUUGGACCGCAGGACAAUCUUGGACGGCAUUGUUCAGAAGCACGUUGAGCUCGUCGCCAACACCGCUGCUCCUCGCACGUCGGUUGGUGACCCGGGCACUAGGGUGUGAGGAUGUCGUUGAUGGAUCCGUAUGUAUUUUUAUCUUUCUGUCAAAUCCAUGUAGUAGUAUAUGGUACUACUAGUAAUUAUCUUACCUUUCGCAUCAACUUCAUAAUUUUCGUACGUACUCCAUGCAUGAACGGCGCCAGAACCAAACUUCUCAUUACUCUAGGCAAAAUCGUUAUUUUCUAUCUAUCGGUCGCGCCAUGGAGCAGAACCAAAUUUUACCAGUUACGAGUUCAAAAGGAAAAGCCUGCCGUGUUCGCGUCGCACCCCCACACGGUUGGUCCGGCACGCCGCUCAAGGGGGAAUGCGUGCGGUGUUGCAUUUUCACUUACAAGUGGGACCGCAGUUGAGCAAACCGACUAUCGGCAAACCCCCACCCCGCCCACCGCAUGAUGGCUGAGAAAACAGGAGGGGGAAGAGAUGGAUGUAGCACGGACUCCAAGAAAAUUGGUGUCGGAUGGGACUCGUGUGGGUGGCAUGUGUCGUACUGCUAGAUGUGAAUGCUAGUUAUGGCGCAUGCCACCCCACUAUAUCGAGCCUAUAUCGAGGUACGUAGAACAAAUUUCCUGGAGUCCGUGCUCAGCCCUCCUCAAUCUCUCUUCUCAGCCAGCCAGCGGACACGCGGAGCCCAUCGUCUGUUUGCUCACAUGCGGUCCCACAUGUCAAUGAAAACGCAAGAGGAUCCACUGAACCUGCAAUCUUUCACCUCGACGUGCUGGUGAUGAAAAACAAAUCCAAUAAAGAUCUUCGGUGGCCGCUUUUGGAGUUACUCAAGAGUAGUAAGAUUCUAUUUACAGUUUAACCCAAGAUGCACAUCACGGGGCUUCAACUACCACUCUAUUUUCUUGCAUGACACGACCUGGAUGCUGGAUGUCCCACAUGUCGGCAAAAGGAGGAAGAGCCCGACCAAAUCUUCGGUUGUGCUCUCGGAUUAGACUAGUUGUGCUAACUUAAAAAAUUUAUUGUGUACUCCCUUCGUUCCAAAAUACCUGACUUCCAUUUGUCCAAAAUGGAUGUACCUAUAUACUAAAACAUGUCUAGAUACAUCUAUAUUUUGACAAAUAGAAGGCAUGUAUUGUGGAAUGGAGGGAGUAGAAUGGAUGCAAGUUUUGGUAUUGGGAAGAAGAGUACAUCGAUAUAUUGACAGAGCGCAAUUUAGUAGAUGUUCUAGCACUUUUAGCUAGCAUAGAGGCUAGAUAUGAGACUAGUGCACUUGUUGAUACUCCUACUAGAAUAGAGGCUAGACAUGAGACUAGAUGCGAGGAAGCAACGUCUACUUCUUUACACUCGAAGAAGAAAGAAGCACGCAGGAUCGAGCCUCCGAAGAUCAACAAUGAAUGCAUCGAGAAGGCACUAAUCCAACUUACAGGAGCAGUUAUGGAAGUUGGAUAUCUUCUAGUAAAAUGUAUUCUUGUGGUUCUUGUUUUCUUUGGUCUUGCUUUUCUAGUCAAAAUUAUCAUUGGAGUUUGUGCAAAACAAAGGUCCGUUGGGGGUCGUGCGUUGGAGUUGGCCUUACAAGUGGGACCGCAGUUGAGGAAAACGACUAUCGACAAACCCCCACCUCGCCCGCCGUGUGAUGGCUGAAGUUAGAGAAACGACGAGGUUGAAGAGAUUGCUCUAGCACGGACUCCAAGAAAUAUGGUGUCAUAUGGAUGUCGUGGUGAUGGCGUGUGCCGUAGUCCUGGACGUGUAUGCUUGUUCUAGCCCAUGCCACCCUACUACUCCUACUACUUAUAUAGUACUAGUAUCGAGGAUUCGAGGUGCUGGUUACGUACAACAAACACAUUAACAUAUGGCUACAGUAAAAACACCCGCCCGACGCGCGAAGCAUGUGAAGCUACCUGUUGCAAUGCAUGUACAAUUAUGUAUUCGGAAAAUAUUUUUUUGCCUCAUCGCACCACUCACUCAGAGAAGCGACUCGAAAGCCAUUCAUAAAUUUAGUACGUUUAUCACAGGCAUAUCAUUUUAUUACAUACAACAGGUCAUCAACCCACAUCGACAACCAGGAUACAUUAUAAAUACUAAAGUUUUCAUCACACAACAAAUAACAAGCAAUGAAAUGAACUUCAACUCAACCAAUCCUCAGCGUUGGAAACACUUGCUUUGAACCACAAGUGAUUCUCUGGGACGGGCCAUCUAUUGUCGAUCUCGAAACCAACACAGGACUGAUCAUCCAGGCUGAAGCGGCCUACUAUAUCAGUACUAGGGUAGGGAACCACCCAAAUGUCCGAGGUAUAGACACAGUUGCUUCUCAUAAAUGGUACUAGUAACGUUGUGUGAACAGUAGUUGGAUCGCCUUUCACCAUCAUCGGAUAGUUUUGUCCAAGGAAGAGCGAGUUUUCUCCAAGACUAUCAAUUCUGUGCCAGGGAGAAGGUGUUGGCACUAGCACACUAGUAUCCAUCCCGAAUAUCAUGCAACGGGUGUUGGAAUAGGUCCGGAGAGUGCGACCAUGGGAGACAACACGUGCUCCCUCAGUAGUAACAAACUCAGUGCGCUGUAUACAGACAAGCAGAGGUGAUCCAUCGGAAUUAGUAGCCAGGCGCCACUGAGUAUAUACGUUCUGCUCGUCCUCAUGCUCGUGAUCAUCACCAUCGUCAUCUCCCCUUGGUUAUAAAAAUUUUCAAGUAUAGGUGGUGGAAUGUUCAUAGGACCUUGGAAACACAAGAAGAAGGUUAAUUAGUAAAGGGAAACAUGCUAACCCGCAUGCAUGUGGAUGAAACAAUUAUAAUUAUGGUGGAAGACAAAUGUACCAAAACUACGAGGAUCCCAUGCAAAAAUAGUGCCAUGAGCGGUGGAAGCAAACACAAGACCCUCGUAUUGAAUUGCAUCAUAGUACACAUCCGUGUAUAGAAACUGAUUUUUGAGCAAUAUCCAUCGAGUCGAACCACAAAGGACGGCAACAAACUUGUCGAAGAUAGCAACAACUUCAUAGUUCUUGUAAUUCCAAGAGCGGUUGGGAACUCGACAAAUUGCUAUCUUCCAUAGAAGACAGUCACCAUGAUCAUAUUUGAACGUGCGUACAAUACCGGUGUGCUCAACCUCUGGGCAGUCUACUGAGAUUUUUGGAAGUGGAACCCGGUCACGAGUGUACACAUUCACAAGUUCCCACUCGCAGUUGGACCCCAUGUAAACAGCCCAAUCUCCAUUUGCGCCUGCCCAAGCCUUACCCUCAAGCGAUGGCAUCUUAACAUCAUAUGUAUCAUUAUCAAGCAGCAUCAACUUGCAUAAGGCGAGGCCUCUGUCGUCCCCGCGCCAGUCAUCAGGGUCACUGCGAAGAAGAUAGGGGAGAUCAAACCGCUUCUUGAGUCUUGGGUUCCUUGUAAUGAUGUUAUUAGUUGAGUCGGGAAUGGUCUUGAACGAACCUGCCAUGCUAGUCGAGAUGAUGAUGUCGCACUGAUCAAUGAGUUCCUCCACCACGUCAUCUUUCAGAUUGGGGCAAGAAUAACGGGGCUGUUUCCGGCCUGUUCCCUCCAUGAAGAAGACGAUCGAACAAUGGCAGAAGGAAGGCUGAAGGGCUGAAGGAAAAUGGAGGAGGGAGAGGAAGAGCAUGCGACAGCAGUUCCAAAUCGAGAAGGAAAGGCGAAGAGUCGGUGGACGGUUGCCAGUUUGCCAUGGUUCACGAAGAGGCGCCCCGGCCUCCACGUUCAUUCAGAAAUACUAGUACAAAAGGACUCACUGUCAUCUCACUGAUAUGUUGCAACGGGACCACAUGUCAACGAAACAUGGUGUGUAAUUUCUCGUGCAAAAUGCGAUCUGGCCGCGUUGGCCUGAGGUGCCACAUUACUUAUCGACCUUUAUUUUUUUAAUGGUGUGUCGUUCAGUUUUGAAGCACGACUAACUGGUACUGUACGCAGAGAAAAUAUAAACUACUCUACCACUACUCCACCUCUAGUACUAGUAGUAUAAAAAAGAUAUAUAGGUUGGAGCUUCAGUGCUUUCUUGCUAAGGGCUGCCCACUUGCUUCUCACACUAUCACCCUCUCUUUAGAUCUAAAAAAGAUGGCCUCUCUCUCCCUCCUCACCGGUGGUCACAGAUCCGCCGGGGAAGAAAAGGACGUGCAAUGUUGACGCACUCGUCGUUGGCGAGCGAGGUCACACACUGACGACAAGGCCGUCCUCUCAGACCUAGCGCCCGCGCGGGAUGGCCUCCGUCCCCAUGCUCGCUGCCAUAGUGUGUGCGGAGAACAACGACCACGAGCGAAGCCACUUCCCGCCGACCCUCAGGUAUGCUACCUCUUUUCGAACCAUACCCUUGUUCUAUUGCCCCAUAUGCCACGUCGUUGCAUGUGGUUCUUUUUCCACUCCACCAUCUUCCCAAUUUGCUAUCCUCUGCUCUAUUGGCCACGCAGACGAAAACCAUAAUUUGCACUAUUAAAGGAAACCCUACUUCAUGCAGACUAAUCCAUGUCUGGGUUGAAUAAGGAAAGGAAGGGAUACUGUACUGUCCAAGAGAGUAGGCAUCAAACCCGCAUCUUGGUUGAAAAGGGGAAAAUCAGUAGCUAAGGAACGAGUCUCGUGUCUCUUGGUUGAAGAAGGGUAGAAGGCAUGACAGUGCAAUAGAGAAUGACCAGGUCGAUUGGUUUGUUGUCCUCACAUAGGAAAAAGGUGGCUAAAGAGAACAAAAAUGGGACGUAAUCGACAUAUGCUGCCUGGAUAUUUGUUGCUCUGGGCAACCAUACCUCCCUCACCACUCUGCGUCCGUGGAGGUACAUCGUACUGGUGCGCCCACUGUCUGAAUGGGCCUCCCAUGCUCUUAUUGCCACUUUUUUGCUGUUAGUAUAACGCCAGCAGUCAAGUCAAGCAAUGCUACUGCUAAAGUGAUGCCACAUUUAACUAAUGCCGCUCUCAGUCUAAUGCCACCGAUAAAUUUAAGCAAUGCCAUUUAAUGUCACUGGAUUAUUUCAGGGUUAGCUGUUGAUUGUGGAUGUAUUAAAGAUUAUUCAGCUAAGGCAUUCUAAUGUUGUUGCACAACCAGUAUACCAACGAUGAAACUUGUUACUACCUUCAGAUUUUUGCACUGUUAAUGCUUAUAGAUUACAUACCUCACUUUCAUGAGAUAAGUUAAUUUUUUUUGUACAGUGUCACCAAAAUGCAAAGGCGCUGAUGUCAUUUUAUUUUGGUUAAACUGCACAAAAAAAUUAUGAAGACAAGAGGAAAGGUCAAGAGUGGGCACCUCCUCCUCCAGCUGUUCUCUUGAUUCGUUCGAUCAAGUUUUUAUGUUUGAUCGAUUAUCAAGAUUAGGAUAGCAAUUUUUAUGGUCCCCCGAGUUCGAAAUGAUAUUUACCUUGGAGGUAUGGUUUGGAAUUUUUUAUACUGUCAUUAGUUAAUAAUGCUAGUUACCUUCAGACUUUUGUAUUUGGUUUAAUGCUCAUGCACAACUAGUAUACCAAUGUUGAAACAUGUUACCUUUACAUUUUGUAUUGUUAAUUCUUAUAGAAAUCUUCCAGUGCUAGAGUUUAUUGAAAUCUGUUCAGUAAAACCCUUGUACUGUACCCUGUAAUAAACUAACUACUCUAUUGUUGCACUAGCCACUGGAUUAGUGUAUAUUUGUAGUAUUCCAAUGGUGUUGCAUUAGCGUAUGGACAUAAAUAAAGUGUGGCAAGCUUUCCCAGAUAUGUGCUCAAGAAAACUACUACCUGUUUUUCUAAAUACUAAGCGUUUGGGUACUUUAAAUUGAACCAUGAAAACGUCUUAUAUUAAGGAACAGAGGGUGUAGAGUUCACUCAAAUUAUCCUGGUAAAGCUAGUCACACCUUUGUUAAAAUUAAUGUUCAUUAUGUUAUCGGAGGAGGUCUGUAUGUUUGUCUCUAAUGCCUGUCGACUACAUACCUGACAUCAUGAUGUAAUGUUAAGUCAUUUCCUUUUGUACAGUGCCACUGAAUUGUCAAGGCGGUGAUGGCAUUUUAUUUUAGUUGAACUGCACAAAAUAUGCUUAAAAGAAGAGGAAAGGUCAGGAGUCGAUCAUUCUUUCAAAAAGAACUAUAUAUGCCUUUCUGACAUCAGCCGAUGUUGCCUUAUUUAUUCCUUCAAACAGGCGGUUAGAAACAGUCGUGCUACCUUUUCCAUUAAGAAAUUGGAAUGCUUAUAUUUGUGAGUCUAUGCUUCAACUAGUGUCAUUUUUACAGUAAUCACACUUUCAAUAUCUAUGCAAACAGGGAUGCUCAAUUUUAGUGGAACUGCACAAAAAGUCCAACUGGUUCAACAUUAGGAGCAUGUUUUCUUCCAAACAUUUAUAUCUAAUUGGUGGCACUAUGAGUUGUUCAUUACGAAGGUACAUGGUUUGCUACUAUCUUGCUACUCUUUUUGUACUAUCAUUAGAUAGUAACACUAGUGGUUUGCAUGUGAAUUUAUUGGCAUGGUGGACCUACAUUGGAGGUGCAGGACAGGAUUCAAUGAUUGGAUGCUCAAUUUUGGUUGUAUCGAUUUCACCUCUUCCAUCACUGCGAACAUGGAUAUCCUUGGUCUGACGAAGAAUAGGCGCUAUAUUUCUGCUCUGAACCAGCAAAUCAAUUCAGUAUGAAAUUGUCCAGGACAAAACAUAACUGUAUCAGAUUGUCCAGUGCAGAACAUGACAGAUGCUAAGUAGAAGAGACAUGUUUAAACCGAAAAUACAAGGUGUUGUAUAUGUUUACUAGCUGCUUGAUAUUUGUGCAGACAGAGAUGUCUGCCCAUUGCUAUUUGGCAAACAAACAAAGUGUCCGCAAUUUUGGUUGAACUGCACAAGAGAAUAGUAUAGUCACUGCAUGGUGCAACUUCUGGAUCGUCUUCAUGCUACUGCGCAUCUAGAUCUCUAGAGCCCUGUUGAGAACCUCCAAGUCUUGGGCAAAUGAGUGAACGGAGUUGUCAUUUCUGGUGCGGAUGAUCUCUCCCUCUGCACUCCUGCGAGAAACCAUGGUGUGGUCUGAUCCAACAAGCUCGGCCCUGUAUUCCUCCCGUAUGCGUCCAAGUGCACUAUGAACUGCUAAGUCUCUCCCGAUGAUCCAAUCGGGUGCAAUGAACUUGAAGUCAAUGGACGCCGAGAGAUUUCCAAACGUCCUCCCUGGUAUGUGCACCUUAAUCCUGAAGCGACGUUCAUCCGGAAAUGCCAUGGUAGGGGUCCCGGUGAUUGAAAGCAGAGCAAUCUUAGAUUCCUUGGUGAUCUGUACCAUCCUCUUGCCGAAAAGCAUAGUCUCGUCGGGCUGGCAAAACUCCGGGAGCAGAACUGGGAUGAACUUAACGACCAUCUAGAAUUGUUGAAAUUGGAGAAGAGUCAGAAAUGAUCAGGGAAGAAAAACACGGAAAAGUAAAGACAUAAAGUAAACUGGUCUCUUCCUAUGGCUUUCCGAUCCUACGGGUCACGUCCUACAGUCAGCGUGUGCUCCGAUACCAUCUCUUAGCGGCCCGACCCAAAAUCGCUCAAGUCUCUGUGUAGUUGUACCAUGCCAAGAUCAUGCUGGCACACGCAGUACAUUGAUGCAAAGAUUCAAAGUUCAAUCACACCUGAAUUUAUCACACGAUUCUCAUAUCGAGUCUUUAUUACAUGAUAAUAAAUUCGGCCGAAGGCCAACUCAUGAGAAAUAAACUAAAUAAAGCUGCGGAAGCAUAGACGAAUAGCGAGUCCAUCCGACUCCAUGGGGCAAUCGCCAAGCGUGGAUCGUAGCCUCACUCCUGGUCGGAGAACUCCUCUGCAACAUAAGACGUUGCAACCGUGUAGGUCAGCAUUUUUUAAUAUGCCGACAAGUCAAGAAGAGAGAACAACAAUAAAAUUUCUAAUACUAUAUGCAAUUUGGCUGUGGGGCUCUAAGUUUCAUUGUUUUGCGAAAAAGCCAGUUUUUUCCUACAACAAAGGACUUCUUUGCAAGUACUAUAAAAUGUUGGUAGUUAUUGAGAUGGUUCCGCCAACCAAUGUCUCAUUCCCAAUUAUUAAAUAACCUCCUCAAUUAAUUUAUUAAGUUCGGUGUUGAGAUAUCCGAAAUACUCCAAGUUCUAGAGGCUCAAAUUGUCUGUAACCGGGGACACGGCUAAUCAAUUAGGUCUUCACUCUGCAGAGGUUUGUGCACUUUACCUGCAAGAAUCAUUCCCUCCUUUAAGUCUUCGCACUGCCUGGUGUUUGAAGACAGGACAAACGAAACAGGGUCUUCCGAAGAGUUCCUCUGGGCCACUGCCGAUGCCCAUCCAAUCCUAUCGUUCUUCUACAUCUUGUAGCACCGUCCGGCCAGAGUCACGCCUAGGGUCGACCAAGCCAGAGCCCAUAAUGGCUUGCGGCUGCACAGGUAAGCUUCCGGUCAAUGGGGUAUCCAUCCGUCUCUUCGUGGCUGGGUGAAGCUUUCCGCAAGAUGUCAUGGCGCUUCUCCAUGAAUCCCGGCCAUCUGCUGGUUUCUCCAGGGUGUCCGUCAACUGUCCUCCACCCAGCAGUGAAUUUUGAAGUCCAUCUUUAGCUUCAAGUCAUGGGGUUGUCAUCAUCUUAACUCUCGCAUCUCCCUUAUGAAUCACUCAACCAACCCCGUCUACUAAAGCAUAGCAAUCAACUACAUCGUCCCGGACAUCGGUAACAAGGGAGAGGGUUCAUCCUACCUCAUGAUACUACUCAAGAACAUAACUUAACAAAUUUUUCCUACUGCAUGCAUGGUGGGGAGGUAUAAUUCUAAUGCAAUAAAAUCAUAGGUAUUGUAAAAACAUGAUCAAAUGACUUGCAUGGCUGAUGGUCUUCGAAAGCUAGCGACUCGUAAUAGCAGGCUUCGCACUCCGGGAAUUCUACCGAGUCAAACAAUAGCACAAAUAAGUAUAGCACAAUAUAACAUAACAACAAGUUGAAGUAAAACACCCAAGCACUCAAACCAAAACCAAGGAAAAACUCAAAGAAAGCAAAUCAAGGUUUUCACCACAUCAAGCAACAACUAAAAAUAGUUUUAUACUACUAAAACUUUUCUUAAUAGAACCUAAACAUGGGUUUUGCUAACUAACAGAAAGGAAAACAGCAUACAAACUAGGUGCAAAAAGAAUCACAUCACAAGCUAUUAUAGAACUCCUAUUAUGCCCAAAACAUUUCUAGCAAAGAAAUUAAUAUAAAACUUUUUACUUUGCUGUAAAUAAAAGUUCAUCCUCUGUAACUACAAAAACUAAUCUAAAAUAAAAUAUAACAUAGUAAAAAUAAAAUUAUUUACUAACUAGAACAGUAGGAAAACAAUAGCUAGCUAAAUAAACUAGAAAAACUUGAUUUCGACUAAAACUAAUUCUUUUUAAUUAAAUCUAAAAUACCCGAACAAGUUCCUACUGUUAGGCAAGGUCAAAACUAAGCAGUAGCAAAAAGAAUCACUUAAAAAUAAUAAUCCUAACUCAAUUUAUGGCAGAAAAACUAAUCUGACUAAAACUAAUAUGAAACUAUUUUUUAUAAACACAAACAUGGCCUAACCUAUUUUCUAUAGAAACUUUAGGAAAUGUGCAAACUAGGAAAAAAAGAAUCAACUAAAAAUAUUAAAUAACCUAGGAGAAACAGAUUUUACAAGAUUGGAACUUUUCUGUUUUUAAAACAGAACGUAAAUAACAGGAAAAAAAACUAACGGGCGCUAUUGGGCUCGGGUUGUUGCGAUCUGAAACUAAACAGUGCCCGGCCGUUAACUAACAUACGCAUACAGUGUAUAACUAAAAGAAACCGGUGAAACGGUUUAGAUCUAAACCUAAAAAACCCGUACACUGAAACCAAUCUAAAAAAACGAGUUACUAAACCGAUCUAAUCUACAUAACGGUUCGAUCUAAAAGAAGAAGAAAAUGAAAAGGAGAGGAGCCCUCGCUUACAGAGGGAAACGUCCGUGGCAGAGAAGAAGGGGCCGGUGGGCUGCGGGGCUCCGGUCGUCGGCGGCGUAGGCGAGGAUGUCCAGGCAAUGCGGAAGGUAAAGGGCGUCCGAUUUUCUGUGGAUGGUGAGGCGAGGGGACGUCAUGGUCGGAUACUCACCGAUGGCGAGUUUCGAUGGUGAACAGGUGGCGGCGGAGCGAGAUCGGUUCGGCGUGGGCGUGGGUUGUAGUGCGUUUGAGCAAGGGUUUUCGAAGGGGAUCGCGAGAGGACGGGUAGGGGUACUGAUAGGACGUGUUACUUGGGCGAGGGGAAGAAUUUUAGCUAGGGUUUGGCAAGGGCGCGGACGCAGCCGUGCGCGAGGUGACGAGCGAGAUACGCGGUACAGGUUGUUCGGGAGGAAGGAGAUAACGCGGUGGGGGUUCAGUGGUCAGAGGAAAAAAAAGAAAAAGAAAGAUAAAAAAAAGAAAGAGAGAGAGAGAGUUACGUGAGGGAGAGGAAGUUACGUGAGAUCUCCCUCGCGAGCGUGGGGAGCGGCGCUGGUGGUGUCCUGCACGAGCGGCUGGACUAGCGCCUGGCUAGUGGGCUGCGGCCCGGGUGGCUAGGCUUGCUGGCCUGGCGCCCGACUUUUCCUUUUUUUUGAAUUAGACAGAGGGAGGAAUAAAAAUAUAGAAGAAUAUAUAUAUAUAUAUAUAUAUAUAUAGGACGAAUUUUUCCUACUACCGGGUGUAGUUACUCCCAUUUUUGUUUCAUGCGUUUUAGAUAGUAUCUAUCAUAUCGGAGAGUAUGUACGCGUAGUAUGUAGUAUAUAUGAAUGUAUAGGUAGUAUAUAUACUACUUUUUUGGUAGUAUGUAUCAUAUUUUGUGCAUACUCCAUUUCACAUAACAAUAUGUAUGUAUUUCACAAAAACAAUAAAACUAUGGGCUCACUUGCAAUUUUUUCAUCGAACUCACUUUGGAGUAUCUUAGAUAUAGUAUGUGAACAUACUAAAAAUAAUAAUGUAGAGUAUAUACUACCACAUAGUAGUAUAUGAGAAAUGGGUGUAACUACACCCGGUAGUAGGAUGCAUUUGCCCUAUAUAUAUAUAUAUAUAUAUAUAUAUAUAUAUAUAUAUAUAUAUAUAUAUAUAUUAGGACAUAUAUAUAUAUAUCAAAAUUCUCAGGGGAAUUUAUCCUACAACAUGGACAUUUUUCCAGGGGUAAAACUCAAACUAAAAAAACACUUUCUGGAAAUCCCAAAUAAAAUUCAAAUUUGAAUUCAAACUUUUUGGCAAUAUUUUUCUUCUGACAUUUUUGGAGUGUCAUGUUUACUCCUCUCCUACUUUUGCUCAAGUAUUUGUCAGGCAUGGUUUUGAAAUAAAUUCAACUGCCAAUUUGAAUCCAAAUUCAAACAAUUCAAAAGCCUCUAAAAAAAUUCAAAUGCCACUCAAUUUCAAACAAUAUGCAUAGAUGCUCAUCUAUAAUUGUAAAACAUUCCAAAUGGGAUAUUUGGGAUGUUACAUUUCGAGUUUGAUGGGGUUGUCUCGAGAUUGAGAUUUUUUCUCAAUGGAUCAUGGAAGUUUAUGAUGGAAUAAGUUGGGACACCCCUGCAGUGUUUAAUCUUUUCAAGAGUCAUGUCCGCGGUUAUGGGCGACUUGGAAAUGUAUAAUAUCCGGUUGUAGAGAACUCGACACUAAACCCGAACUAAAGUACACCAACCGCGUGUGUAACCGUGACCGUCUCUUUUCGAGGGAUUUUUGGAAGAGAACACGAUGGGAUUAUGUUUGUCUCAUAAAUAGUUUAGGAUCACUUCUUGAUCAUUACUAGUUUGUGACCGUUAUGCGCAGUUUACUCUUCUUACUCUUGUACUCGUAAGUUAGCCACCAUACAAAUGGUUAGUGCUUGCUGCAACCUUACCACUUAACCAUUCCAUACCCAUUAAGCUUUCCUAGUCUUGAUACCCAUGGUAAUGGAAUUGCUGAGUCCUCCUGGCUCACAGAUUACUACAACAACAAUUGCAUGUAUAGGUAAAGCAAUGCUCUGACAUGAGAGCGAUGCUUGCUUGUUUUGGAGUACUUCUGGUUCUUCUUCCUUGAUCAAGGGAUAGGUUCCGGGUCAGGAGCCUGGGAUUAGCAGGGUGGAUGUCGUUCUUCUUUUUUGUUUGAUUUCAUCCGUAGUCGGAUCCUGCUCUUCUGUAUGAUGAUUGCUAUGUAUUGAUGUAUUGUAUUCAUGUUGUAGCUUGUGGUGAGUGUAAGCCUUUAUCUGACAUUCUCAUCUAUUCAAUACAUGGUAUGUUGUAAUGAUAUCCACCUUGCUAGCCGCUCGAAAUGCGGUUGUGCCCCAAUCAUGAAUUCAUCACGUGAUUGGGAUAGAAUCGCAUCUUGGGCGCUACAGUAUUGGGCAUUAAGAUCUAUAGAGAUAGAUCAAGGUGGUUGCCUAGCUUAAGCUAGAGCACGUACAUAGACAAAGUGUUGAAGCGGUUCAACAUGAGUGAGGCCAAGAAAGGGUUUUUGUCACUCUCACAUGGUAUAAGGCUAAGCGAGACUCAGAGUCCUUCGACAUUUAAUGAGCGAAACAUGAUUAGUUGGAUUCUGUAUGCCCCGGCGAUCAGACCCAUCAUGUAUGCCAUGAUAUGUACUCAUCCUGAUGUUGCAUUUGCAAUAAGCUUAACAAGAAGAUACCAGGCCAACCCCGGUGAGAGUCACAGGGCGGUGGUGAAGAAUAUCCUAAAGUACCUGAAAAGGACUAGGGAAACGUUUCUAGUUUAUGGAGGUGAGGACAAGCUCUGCGUAAAUGGUUACGCCGAUGCUAGUCUCCAAACAGACAAAGAUGUUUGUCGAUCACAGUCCGGAUUCGUGUAUGUCAUGAACGGAGGAGCACUGAGCUAGACGAGUUCCAAGCAGGAUACGGUGGCCGAUUCUACCACAGAAGCUGAAUACAUUGCGGCUUGUGAAGCUGCAAAGGAAGGUGUUUGGACCAAGAACUUUCUGGAUGAUCUUGGUAUUUUCCCAGCCUUGGUAAAAUCAUUGGACCUUUAUUUUGAUAAUUCUGGUGCCAUUGCACAAGUCAAGGAGCCGAGGAACCACCACAAGACCAGACACAUAGAUCGAAAAUAUCACCUGAUAUGAAAGAUCGUAAAAUGUGGUGAUAUAGAGUUGUGCAAAAUUCACACAGAUGCAAAUGUUACAGAUCCAUUGACUAAGCCGCUUCCACAACCCAAGCAUGAGGGGCACGCUAGAGCUAUGGGCAUACGAUGUCUAUUUGAUUGACUCUAGUGCAAGUGGGAGACUAUUGGAGAUAUGCCUAGAGGCAAUCAUGUAUGAUGAUAUUUCCUAUGUGUUUAUGAAUAAAGAUAGUCCUUGGACAUUAUCAACGAUGUGCAUCAGCAAGUACGUGACUUGUUUGUGAGACUAUGCAUUGUAUGAUGAGUGUCCUAAAUGGUCCCUGUUGUUAUGUGAACGCGCAGCCCGACUAGACUAGCAUAUGACACAGUGGAUGGCUCAGUCUCACUAGCCAUGAAGCAUUGGAUGCUAGCCGGAUAGUAUGGACUCGGAAGGAUCUGGUCGGAUCUGACAUAGUCAGAUUCGAGUCCAGAUAAGGUCCAAGUCGGACAUAUUUGACUACUAGAUGUAGCGAUAUGUCAUCUAUGAGUCUCUAGUACAACAUAUGUUUUGUGUCCUAAGCCAUAACUGGGUAGUUAUAAAGGUAGGCUUUAUGCUUAUUCUGACCCAUGCCGGGAGACAUGGUCGAGCAUGUUGGGUUCUACUGUAGGGUGUGUUGACUGCAAAUUAAUUUUUUACUACACGCAAAACAACCAGGAACAUGCUACGGCAAUGGAUCACAGAUCGUUACCACUAGACGCGCAGUGUCGUGCAGCGGAAGAAGAGUUGGGGCAGCGUGUUCGCGUGGAUCAUCUCCUCCUCGUCCGAUAUCCCUCGAACAGUCGGUCAUCAGAUACCACGUACAGGUUCACCAGAGCGGUGCAAGUGCACCGCCUCUAAUGGUAUCCGCUCGUGCAGGAGGAACACUGCGCGGCGGACUGCUAGGUCCGAUCACAUAGUCGGCGACGAGUGGAGGUGGCUAUUCGCAACACAUGCAAGACCUAGUGACGACGCCGAAGCGAUCAACAAAUGAGUGUGCAGCACCCCCACUUUAUAUAGGCGUCCAUUACGGGCUCAACACUUGGGCCUCGCAUGGACCCUAAAGCCCAAAAUCUGUUCGGCCAGGAUCCGAGUCGGAGUAGGAUCACAUCUAACUCGUGGAGUUAGAUCGGGCCUCACAGGUUCCUUCCCUUAAACACGCGACCCCUUAGGUUCAAGUCGGCUUGGUCGCAGGUCGGAUCACCUCUGACCUGCUCGGCUGGUAGCGGCCUUUAGCAAGGCGUGCCGACCAGCAAGUAAACAAUGAAGCUGGUUGGAGAACCUGUAUAACAUGUCACACUUCUGUUCCCUUUGCCACAUGAUAUAUGUUGUCGGGCUCAAUGCGACUUUGUCAUCCUUUUGCUAGCCCAACCUCUUUUCCUGUUCCAGUGAUGCCGACCACUAGCCGAAUUAUCUCAUAAUCCCUGUCGCAUGGCCAUGCUUAUCUUGGUCGGAUCACACGAGGAGCCUAGAGUAUAUCUCUCCUGAUCGGAAGGGCAAAUCUCAUCUUGCUCGACCAUGUCUCGCAACAUGGGCCUGGACAAGCCCGAAACCUACCUUUGUAACUACCCAGUCACAGAGUAGCGUUUGGUUGGCCCAAAGCAAGUCUGCCACCAUCUCGAGUACAUGCGCCAGCUCAGGUCUUAGGACAUAGAACGUAUGUUGUUCCAGAGACUCACAUAUGACAUAUCGCUGUGUCUCAUAGUUGGGUCUGUCCGACUUGGACCUUAUCUCAACUCGGAUCCGACUACAUCGAAUACGACUAGAUCCUUCCGAGUCCAUAUUAUUCGGUUAGCAUCCAAUGCUCCAUGGCUAGUGAGACCAAGCCAUUGACCGUGUCAUAUGCUAGUCUAGUCGGCUGCACGUCCACACGACCCUUUCGACUAGGGACCUUUUAGGAUAGUCAUCAUACAAUGCAUAGUCCCACAAACAAGUCACGUACUUGUUGAUACACAUCAUUGAUAAUGUCCAAUGACUAUAUUUAUUCACAAACACAUAGCAAAUAUCAUCAUACAUGAUUGUCUCUAGGGCAUAUCUCCAACAGAGCAAGAUGAGAUUUGCCCCUCCGAUCAGGAGAGAUAUACUCUGGGCCCCUAGUGUGAUCCGACCAAGAUAAACAUGGCCAUGCAACAAGGAUAUGAGAUAAUUUGUUUUAUGGUCAGCAUCACUGGAAUGAGAAAGAGGUCGGGCUAGCACAAGGAUGACAGACCCGCCUUGAGCCUGACAACAUAUAUCGUGUGGCAAAGGGAACAUAAGCGUGACAUGUUGUACAGGUUCGCCAACCGGCUUCAUUAUCUACUUGGUGGUCGACACGCCUUGCUAGAGGCCACAUACCAACCGAGUAGGUCAGAGGUGAUCCGACCUACGACCAAGACGACUUGAACCUAAUGGGUCGCAAGCUUAAGAGGGAAGGAACCCGUGAGGCCGGAACCAACUCCACGAGUCAGAUGUGAUCCUACUCGGACUCGGAUCCAGGCCAAACAAACUUUAGGCUUUAGGAUCCAUGCGAGGCCCAAGUGUUGAGCCCGCGACAGAUGCCUAUAUAUAGUGGAGGAGCGACACACUCAUUCAGUUGAUCGUUUCAGCACCGUCAUUAGGGCUUUACAUGUAUUGCAAUUAGCCACCUCUAGUUGACGCCGGUUGUAUGAUCAGAUCUAAGUAGUCCGCCACACGAUGUUCCUUCUGCACUGCUCCGGCAAACCAAUUCGUGGGAUCUGAUCGGCUAUGUGGGAGAUCGACGAGGAGGAGACGACUCCGGAGACGCGCUACCUCAAUUCUACUUCUGUUGCACGACACUGCAUGUUUAGUGGUGAUGAUCCGUGAUCCAUCGCCCGUAGCAUGUUCCUGGUUGAUCUGCGCAUAGGGAAAAAAAUUAAAUUGCAGCCAAUGCACCUAGCGUAGAACACAACACCUCAAGCUGCCAAAUCUUGUUCCAAAUUGGAUUGUUAACUGAUGGAUGGGACCAGUUCGAUUGCCUCUAAAUUUAUGUGCCCAUUCUGCAUGGAAUGCAGUUUUCACCAAAAAAGUACCAAUUCAAGUGUGAUGCCAAGCAUUAAAAUCUUCAAAGACCUCAUAAUUCAAUGGAAUUAGAGAAUCCUCCUAGUAUCCGCUGGACUGAAUAUAGCUCUAAUCAGUUCUUCAUACCAUUCUCCAUUUGUCAAAUCAAUUAGGUCCAGUACCUUGGAGAUUAAAAUUUGACCCCAAGGAGUUAUUAUAUGACGGUCUGGACUAGAUGGAAUCCACGGACCAGUCCAAAUAUCAACCUUGCUAUCAUCACCAAUGCGCCAAAUAUGGCCCCUUUUAAAAGUUUGCAGCCCCACUACCAAACUUUGCCAAGUAAAAGAGGAUCCAUUUUUUGGGGCCAACCAAUAAUAAAUUGCCAUCCAGAUAGUACUUAGCAUGCAACACCUUAGCACAUAGAGAAUCUGGACUAGUUAUGAAUCUCCAACACUGCUUUGCUAGCAUGGCCAAAUAAAAGGAGUGAAGGUCUCGAAACCCCAUCCCUCCCAUCUUCUUUGGAGUACAUAGCUUCCACCAUGCAUAGCAGUGCAUAAUUUUCUUAUCUCCAUCCCCUCCCACCAAAAUUGUGCUAUAAGAUCCGUUAUGCCCUUACAGACCCCCUUAGGGAUAUUAAACACUGACAUGGCAAACACGGGAAUAGAUUGAGCAACUACUUUCAACAACAAUUCUUUACCUCCCAUUGAUAAAAAGAUUGGCCAUCCAAACACAAAUUAUGUUUCUGAUUCUCUGAACAAAAAGCUUGAAGCAAUCACUCCUAUCUGCUCCUACCAGAGCCGGUAGGCCUAAAUAUUUAUCUGAGAGUGCUUCAAUGUCAAUAUGUAAUUCUUGAUAAAUUUUUGCCCUCGCCACCACACUGGUAUUAAGGCUAAAGAAUAUGCUUGAUUUUGAUCUACUCACCAGUUGGCCAGAGUUAGUGCAAUAAUCAUCUAGUGCUCGCUGUAAGGAAGCUGCAUUUAACAUAUCCGUAGUCAUGAGGAUUAGGGAAUCAUCAGCAAAUAGAAGGUGCGAGACUGGUAGUGCAUUUCUACACACCAUGAGUGUAUGUGCGUGUAUAUGAGCGUUGACGUCUGUACUGUGUUCAAAAACUCCAUCAAUGCCACCAGCUUCUUCUUCAAACUGUAGUAUACUAGAUAAACCUUCUAUGCACAAGAGAAAUAAGUAUGGGGAUAAAGGGUCUCCUUGUCGAAGGCCUCUUGUUAGUGUGACUCCUUCUAUCUCUUGGGAAUUAUACCGGUUGUGUAUUUUACUAAAGAAACACAAUUCAUAACUAAAUUCACCCACUGGUCAUCAAAACCCAAUUUCAACAUCAUAUUCCUCAAAAAGACCCAUUCAACUUUGUCAUAUACUUUAUGCAUGUCCAACUUGACGCCACAGAGCCCUGGUUGCCCGUUUCUCUUGUUCUUGAUUUUGUGGGCACACUCAUAAGCUACCAAUAUAUUAUCUGUUAUUAAUCUACCAGGCACAAAAGUACUCUGUGUUUUCGAAACGAUCUCAGGCGAAAUGGUCUUCAGUCGAUUAGCAAGCAUCUUAGAGAUGAUCUUGUAGAUAACAUUACAAAGGCUUAGGACAAAAUUGAGUAAUCGAUCCAGGAGAGUCAACUUUAGGUAUCAAAACCACCACAAUAUUAUUCCACCCCUCCGGGAUCAUACCUGAGUCGAGUGCGUGAAGAACUUCAUGAGUUAUCGUCCCCGAAGACAUGCCAAUUUUUUUAUAGAAGAUGGCAUGUAGCCCAUCCGGCCCCGGGGCCUUAAGAUCACCAAUACUAUCAAUGGCAUUUUUAACCUCCACCGAUGAAUAAGGAUUAAGCAACAUCUCGUUCAUUUGGGCAGUAACCUUUUCUUUCACUUCUGCAAGGAAAUUAGGAUCUCUCUCAUCAUACACCUGAGGUGAAGAGAUUAUUGAAAUAAGAAUGCAUGAAAGGAUUAAUCGCACGUGUACCAUCCAGCCGUUGGCCCAUGUCAUUUUUAGACGGGAAAUUCUGUUACGUUUUCCACCACAGUAGUAUUAAGGCUAAAGAAUAUGCUUGAUUUUGAUCUACUCACCAGUUGGCCAGAGUUAGUGCAAUAAUCAUUUAGUGCUCGCUGUAAGGAAGCUGCAUUUAACAUAUCCAUAGUCAUGAGGAUUAGGGAAUCAUCAGCAAAUAGAAGGUGCGAGACUGGUAGUGCAUUUCUACACACCAUGAGUGUAUGUGCGUGUAUAUGAGCGUUGACGUCUGUACUGUGUUCAAAAACUCCAUCAAUGCCACCAGCUUCUUCUUCAAACUGUAGUAUACUAGAUAAACCUUCUAUGCACAAGAGAAAUAAGUAUGGGGAUAAAGGGUCUCCUUGUCGAAGGCCUCUUGUUGGUGUGACUCCUUCUAUCUCUUGGGAAUUAUACCGAUUGUGUAUUUUACUAAAGAAACACAAUUCAUAACUAAAUUCACCCACUGGUCAUCAAAACCCAAUUUCAACAUCAUAUUCCUCAAAAAGACCCAUUCAACUUUGUCAUAUGCUUUAUGCAUGUCCAACUUGACGCCACAGAGCCCUGGUUGCCCGUUUCUCUUGUUCUUGAUUUUGUGGGCACACUCAUAAGCUACCAAUAUAUUAUCUGUUAUUAAUCUACCAGGCACAAAAGUACUCUGUGUUUUCGAAACGAUCUCAGGCAAAAUGGUCUUCAGUCGAUUAGCAAGCAUCUUAGAGAUGAUCUUGUAGAUAACAUUACAAAGGCUUAGGACAAAAUUGAGUAAUCGAUCCAGGAGAGUCAACUUUAGGUAUCAAAACCACCACAAUAUUAUUCCACCCCUCCGGGAUCAUACCUGAGUCGAGUGCGUGAAGAACUUCAUGAGUUAUCGUCCCCGAAGACAUGCCAAUUUUUUUAUAGAAGAUGGCAUGUAGCCCAUCCGGCCCGGGGCCUUAAGAUCACCAAUACUAUCAAUGGCAUUUUUAACCUCCACCGAUGAAUAGGGAUUAAGCAACAUCUCAUUCAUUUGGGCAGUAACCUUUUCUUUCACUUCUGCAAGGAAAUUAGGAUCUCUCUCAUCAUACACCUGAGGUGAAGAGAUUAUUGAAAUAAGAAUGCAUGAAAGGAUUAAUUGCACGUGUACCAUCCAGCCGUUGGCCCAUGUCAUUUUUAGACGGGAAAUUCUGUUACGUUUUCUUCUUGCGGAUGCAAAACUAUAAAAAAAAAUCCCGUGUUGCGAUCCCCAAACUUCAACCAACUCACCCUUGAUCUUCGUAUAAAGGAAGUGUGGUACAUCCAUCGUAGAGCAUUGGAUGCACAACAAUUUUGAAGGGGGCACCUCUGUUCCAAGUAACGCCUCCACGUCAGCGAAACACAUAGGGUGGAUUGAAAAGAAAUACAUAGGGUAGGCCAAAACGGCUGGCACGACACGGCCCGACCCGACCUUGGUUAAACGGGCCAAGCCCAGCCUGGCCCGGCCAGGCAUAAAUACACGGGUCGUGCCGGGCCGGCACGCGUGCUGCCCUUCCUGGCCCAUGCACUACCCCCUCACUACACGGGCCGACAGGAUGACCCGUUUGGCACGCCAUCACGGGGGUUCGAGUAUAGAUCGAAGCACGUUUUUCUUAAAAAAAUUAGAUCAAGGCACCCUAGUACGCUACAUCUCGUGCGCACUUGCCUCGAAAAAGAAACGUCUGAUACGCUCAUGUACAAGGCACAUCGAGGCACGUCUGUCUCGUGCGCUCGCCAGGAGGCACAUCGCUCUCGUUUUGUGGGCCACACCUUCUAAUCCCUUCCGCACGUUUCGAGCGAAACGCUCCUCGCUAGUCGCCAAGCUAGCUAGUCGCGAGAGUCCACACGACUAGGCGUGCCGUGCCGGGUCGGCACGCGUGCCUGCCUAGGCAGCCCAGGCACGGCCCUAGCCGGGCCACAUGCCAGGCACGCCCUGUUAAGCUACGUGCCGGCCCGGCCCAUGACGGGCCGAGCACGCGGGCUAUUGUGCCGGCACGCCUAGGCUGGCCCAUUUGGCCAGGUUUGGGGUAGAUGAACGCAUAAUUUAGUUUGAGGACCUUCAUUUGUUUUGUUUUCGAGGGGAAGACCUUCAGGCUGGACGCUUUGCCGCUUUGGAAGUUUGAUGAGGACGGAAGUGAAUUGUCCCAACAAGUUUUGAGGGGUAUCGAUCGUGCUAGGGAUUUGAGUGGAAGAUUUGAUCAUCGCGUUCCAGGAGAGCAGAGCGGGCUGAGCGAUUCGGAUCGCUCUCCACCUUCCGGGGCCGUCCCCCUUCUCCCCCCCGAUCCCCAAUCCAAUGGUGCUAGUCCUAGCGCUGGGGGAUCUGCACAUCCCGCACCGUGCGCCCGACCUGCCCGCCAAGUUCAAGUCCAUGCUCGUCCCGGGCAAGAUCCAGCACAUCAUCUGCACCGGGAACCUCUGCAUCAAGGUCAGUCUCCUUUUAUCCCUGUGAUACAUGCUUGAUGCCGCGUGCGCGUGAUUGCUGCUGGAUCGCCGUGUCUCUGGUCUGUCAAAUCUGGUUGACCGACUAGUUCGUGAAUGUCACACCCUGAUUUGAGAAUUCGUGGUGGAUUCGAUCUAAAUCGCAAGAACAGGAGGGGAAAGUAGGCGCCCGCUAGGGUUGUUGUAUUACUAUGAGAUAUAUGUUUGAUUUAUAAAAUGGUCUCAGCAAUAAUCGAUGCAUUACAAGAUGUUGGGAGCGAGCUUUAUAACCCAGCUGGCACAGGGUGACGGCUACAGUGGCGUGGAUGAAACGCUACAGGAAUACAGCCGAAAUGGUAGUGAGACGGUGAGCAUCGCGAGCCGUCGGAUCGUCAGGACAAGGAUGAAUCUGGGCCGGACGUUAACUGAAGAAGGGGUGCAUCUAUUAACUGCAGAUGCAGGCCUGACAAUGCUCCCGCGCGAAACCGAACUUGUCCUCAAGGAGGUGAUCUGUUGAACCAGCGAUCAAUGGUCGCUUUGAAGAACGCUGGAAAUGUCUUUUUCAUGAAUGUGGCGUCCUCCCAGGAAGCUUCAUCGGGUGGCAAGUUUGCCCAUUGCACGAGCCACUGGACCACCGGCAGGUUGUUGCGUGGUACCUGGCGAGUCUCCAGAACCAAGACUGGUUCAGUCAGUAUCAUGCCGUCUGCGCGAACCAGAGGAAGAUCGACGCACGGAACAGCCGAGGGCCCGACAUGCUUCUUCAGCUGGCUGACGUGAAACACCGGAUGGAUGUUGGUGCCAUCAGGUAAGAGGAGUUUGUAGGCCACUCGCCCCACUUUAGCUGUGACACGGAAGGGCCCGUAGUACUUGCUCUGUAACUUGAUGUGAGAGCGCGCGCGGAACGCAUUCAGGCGAUAUGGUUGCAUCUUGAGAUACACCAUGCCCCCCACUUCCAAAACUCUUUCAGUUCUUUUACGAUCUGCGUACUUCUUCAUGCGUGCUUGAGCUGCAGUUAAGUUGGUUUUCAGGUGUUGGAGUAGUGCAUCUCGAUCAGUGAAAAACUGUUGAGCUUCGGUUGUCAGGUUAUCUGGUAGAAUGUUCUCGCAGAUAUUGGGAGGUGGGUAUCCAUAGGCUGCUUCGAACGGAGUUUUCUGAAGGGAAGAAUGGUACGAGGUGUUGUACCAGUAUUCUGCCAUGGAUAGGUGCUGGGCCCACUUCUUGGGUUGUGUUGAUGUCAGGCAUCGCAGGUAGUUCUCAAUGCACUGAUUUACGCGUUCUGUUUGGCCAUCUGACUGUGGGUGGUAUGCAGAACUGUAACGCAGUUCGGUGCCCAUGCCGGCAUGCCCUUGAACAUAUCUUGCCAAACUUGACUGAUGAAUAUGCAGUCUCGGUCAGAGACAAUGGACAGUGGAGGGCCAUGUAGUUUCAGUACAUUGUCAAUGAAUGCAGUGGCCACCGUGUGAGCAGUAUAGGGGUGAGACAGUGGGAUAAAGUGGGAAAACUUGGACAGUCUGUCAACUACCACAAAUAUGACAUCCUUGCCUUGAGAUUUAGGCAGGCCCUCGAUGAAAUCCAUAUUGAUGUGUGUCCAAACCAUAUCAGGGAGUGGAAGUGGAUCCAAAUAUCCAGGGUAAGGGCAAUUCUCUCCCUUGUUCUUCUGACAGACAGGGCAUUCAGAAACAAACUUGUCCACAUCUUGUUUCAGACCUUGCCAGUAAAAGAUUUGCUUGAUUCUGUGAUAUGUGGCUUUCAUGCCUGAGUGGCCUCCCAAAGCAGAGGCAUGAAGUGCAGCCAGAAGUUUCUUUCUCAAAGAUAAAUCCUUGCCCACAUAAAUUCUUCCUUUGUGUCUAAUAAUGCCAGAGUGCAGAGUGUUUUGGUUUAUUGAGUGGUCAGGGGACAGCAGGAGCUUUUCAAGGAGAGAUUUGCAAGUGCUGUCAUUGGCAUAGGAAUCUUCUACUGCAGAGAUCCACUGUGGAGUUACCAGGGAAAUAGCCAUAAGUGAAUGUUUCCUAGAUAGGGCAUCAGCCACAAUGUUUUCCUUGCCCUUUUUGUACUGCAGAGUGAAAGUAAACUCAAGGAGCUUCAACAUCAGUUUAUGUUGUAUGCUGGUGUUGACCUUCUGAUCUGUCAUGAAUUGCAGGCUCUGAUGGUCUGUUUCUAUGAUGAGUUCAUUGCCCAGGAAGUAGUGCCUCCAUUUCUUUAAGGCAGCCAGGAUUGCUAAUGCUUCUUUCUCAUAAGUGGACAGGGCAGCAUUCUUUGGGCAGAGGGAGGAGCUGUAAUAUGCAAUUGGUUUUCCUUGCUGCAUCAUUACUGCUCCAAUCCCAGUUCCAGAAGCAUCUGUCUCUAGCACAAAUGGCUCAGUAAAAUUUGGGAGGGCCAGCACUGGUGCAUUGGUCAUGGCCUGUUUCAACUGUUGGAAGGCACUAGUCUGUUUGUCAGUCCAGGAAAAGCUGUCUUUCUUGAGGAUAUCAUGCAAAGGCCUGGCUAUUGUUCCAAAAUGCUGGACAAAUCUUCUAUAGUAUCCACAUAGGCCCAAAAAUCCUCUGAGUUGUUUUGGUGUGGUGGGAAUGGGCCACUCCACCACUGCUGCCACUUUAGAGGGAUCAGUAGAAACUCCUUUAGCAGAAAUAACAUGGCCCAAGUAGUCUACUUGUGUAACUGCAAAAGCACACUUGGAGAGUUUGGCAUAUAGUUGAUGUUCUUUGAGUAGUUGUAACACUAUCUGGAGGUGUUCAAUGUGUUCUGACAGUGAUUUACUGAAUAUCAAAAUGUCAUCAAAGAAAACCAGUACAAACUUUCUCAGGUAUGGGCCAAAGAUAUUGUUCAUGAGGGCUUGGAAUGUAUCGGGUGCAUUAGCCAGCCCAAAUGGCAUAACUAGGAACUCAUAGUGCCCAAAAUAUGUUCUGAAUGCAGUCUUAGGUAUAUCCUUUUCAUCCAUUCUCACUUGAUGGUAACCAGACCUGAGAUCCUACUUAGUGAAGUAAGUUGCUCCAUGUAAUUCAUCCAGUAAGUCUUCAAUUACAGGGAUGGGAAACUUGUUUUUCACUGUGGCCUCAUUGAGCUUCCUAUAGUCAAUGCACAUCCUCCAAGUGCCAUCUUUUUUCAUGACUAAGAUUGCUGGAGAGGAGUAGGGACUUUCACUAGCCCUGAUUAUUUUAUCUCUGAGCAUUGCAUCAAUUUGCCUUUCCAACUCAUUCUUCUGCAUGUGAGGUACUCUAUAGGGCCUAGAAUUUGGAGGUUUUGCCUUUUCUUUCAGUGGUAUCUUGUGAUCAUGAGAUCUUUUGGGGGGCAGGCCUUUGGGUUCUUGAAAAACUUCAGGGAAUUUCUGCAGAACUUCUUCUACAUGUUGUGGAACUGAUUGUUUCUCUGGUUUGGUCAUAGUAGUGUCCCUGAUAAGUUGCAACACAUAACUUGGAGCUCCUGAAGACAGUAACUUGUCCACUUCUGCAGCUUCAAUUAUAGUGGCGUCAGACAGAGUGUCACAAGCUCUGAUUGUAACAGGAGUGCUCUUGUUCUGCAUAAUUGUGAUCUAUCUGGGGUUGUAGUGAAAAGCCACCGGGCUGUGUUGUGCCAUCCAGUCACUGCCUAACACCAUAUCAUGUCCAGGUAGAUCCAACACUCUGAACUGCUGAAUGAACUUGGUGUGGCCUGCAGUGAAAGUGGUUGAGGGUAUAUAGGAACUAGACCACAAUGUUCCCCCACCAGCAACUGUAACAGCAUGGUUAGUGUCCUUGAGUAUGUUGGAAGAGGUUGUCAGAGCAAAUUUCAGGCUUAUAAAAGUGGAGUUACUGCCUGAGUCCACUAGAGCAAUGCCCUGUUUGCCCCCUAUUUGCACCAGAAUAGAAAUGGUGUUCACAUUAUCUGACUGCAUGGCUUCAGCAGAGAUGGUCAUACAGUGUUCUUCAGUCUGGGGCUGUUCUGUUUCAUCCUGUUCCUCCAACUCAUCUGGUUCCUUCUGUUGUUUAGUAGGCUCCUCACCUGUUAAAACAUUCAGUGCAGGAGCAAGUUUGCACUUAUGUCCAUGGAACCAAGCAUCCCCACACCUCCAGCACUUGCCAGGUUCUCUGGCUCUUUGGUUCACUAUAGUUGGUUUGGGAUCUGCAGCUUUUUCUGUUGCUAGGCUAUAGGUUUUGUGAAAACCAGGAUAGCCUUUACUGGCGCUAGUGUGGGCUUGAAGUGCUUUCUUUUCUGCUGUGCCUUUCUCCAUAUCCACUGCCAACCAAUAGGCUUCUGUGAGGUUGGUAGGUCUCAGUGAUCUGAGCUGAAACUUGAUCUGUGAACGGAGCCAUUGACAUAGCAUUUGACAAACCACUGUUCGUCCAUUAUUGGAUUGUCAGUUUGAAUUUCUGCCAUCAGUUCCUCAAACUGGUCAGUGUAGUCAGACACUGACGAAGUGCUUUGCUUCAGGAUUUCCCAUGCUCGGCCAUCUUCUUUGAGGGGCUUCCGAAGAUGGAAGUGUCGCCCUCGCUUGUAGGUGGUCGCCUUGUUGUUGAAGAUGUUGAUGUAGGCGAACUCAUGGGAAGUAGGCGAAGAUGCCGUAUGUCCGAAGGCGAAGAUGCCUUGCUAACACUGGCGAAGAUGCCGAAGUGGUCGUGGUAGCCGUAGCUUCCUCUUGGUGGUGCUUGUCUCGCGGUCUUCUUUUGUGCUCUUGAAGCGUGGCCUUGGCGUGAAGUAGAGCUUGUUGGGACUUGUACAUUUGCGCUUGGUGAGCAUCUUCAUGAUGAUGUUGUCGUUGUCGUACUUGAGCUCGUAGUAGAUGUCGUUCGUCGUCGUCGUGCACAUGUUGCUUGGAGGUGACUUGCCCUUCAUGAUGAUGUUGAUCACGAUUGUGACGAUGAUCAUCACGAAGAUAUGGACGUGGACGAAUUGCGCUUGCAUCGUUUUCGCGCUCCGAAGACUUGUGGCUUGGCCUUGAAGAUGACGAAGGGGAAGAAGACUUGAUCAAGGCCCUAAUCUCCUCCAUCCUUGCAUCUUGCUCCUCUUUUUGUGCGGAAAGCUUCUUGUCGAUGUAGUCCCUUUUCCUUGCUUCGGAGUGACGAAUGUCGAUGGAGAGGUUCUCGAUGCGCUCUCGCAAGGUAGAAUGUGCGCCUUGCAUUUGUUGUUGUAGACCGAAGAUGGACGCUUUGGUGAUGUAGUUGUUCGCACUGUCAUUGUUGUCGAAGAUCGGAGAUGAAAUGCCUUUCCUAUCCAUUACAAGACUCGAGCAAAUAUGAGUGGAAGAUAGGAGAGAACUGUACCAAAUGUACCUUAAUCGAUGUUGAGAAUGGAUCAAUGAUCACUCAGUGAUGUAACAAGGAAAUAACACAAUUGGUACCGAUCUCGUCAAUUUCUCACACCUACACAAAUAAGGCUUAUGGUGCAGCUCGGUGAGGAUAGUGGCACAAAAAUUUGAUGCAAACUGUUAGUAAGAGUCAAUAAAGUUGAAAGAGAUUCACAAAUUCGCAAGUGAAACAAGUAGACCAAUAGCAAUGAAUGACACGGAAACACACACACUGAUAGAUAAAUGGAGUCGUGCAACCAAGGAAUGAGCACAAAAUGUGGAAUCCACGGAAAACGCUCGUGUUGCACAACUCAAGAGAGACGCUAGCACGAUUGCUCAAUAGGCGGAUACGACACUUGUGCACAACCUAUAAGAUGCAAAAUGUAUGGACUUUUAUCCCAAGUAUGCUAUGUAUGUAUGAUUCCCGGUGUUCCUCUCAAGAUGAUCGGAUAUGACAAUCUUAUAUGCAAUGUGGUGUGAUGCUAUGUCUAUUGCUUACAAGCUCUUUGUUUUUCUCUUUGCUUAAAAGCUUAUUCUCUUUUUUUGGCCACUUUUGCACAAUGCACAAACCACCGCGAGCCCGGAGAUGCUCAACCACCGCGAGCCCGAACCAGCCGGCCACCAACCGCCACCAAACCUGCACCGCAGAGCACCGAAGGGAAUCUCCCGCCAGCGCCCGCGCCCGUCCCAGCUGAGGCCGUCCCGCGCGACCCCCCGGCCAGCAGCAGCCGUGCUGCCGGGUCCUGGGCGCACACCGCCGUCUCCAUCGACCAGCCGAUCCCGCCAGAGGAAGGAGGAUCCACGCCUGAAUCUCGCCGAGCCGCACCACCUCCCGCCGCAGCAGAGACGCCAAACCACAGCAGCUCCGCCGCCGCCCACGCAGUCGACGGGAGCCACCGCCCGCCCGCGGCCGCGCCGCCCAGAGAUCGAAGAGGUCCGGGGCCGCUGCCCCGGCGUCCGAGCACCCGUGCCGCUGACCCCCGCAGCAGAAACCGGGGAAGCCAGAUCUGGCCGCAACCGGCUCGAUCCAGCCGCCCCACGCAACGCCCUCCGCACCUGCAAGCCGAGCAUCACCCCCGCCGCCAGAGCAUCACCGGAGAUAGGCGAGGCAGCCGCGCAGUCCACCGCCAGGCACCACAGCGCCGAGCGCCACCCGCCGCCGCUCCCCCAGGACUGGACGCCGCGCGACGGGAGAAGGCCCCGCCGCCGCCACCCCCACACGGGCUUUGCCCGGCGGUGGCCACUGGCGGCGGCGAGGGAGGAGGAGCAGGUGGGGGGAGUGGGAGGCGGCGGGGAUCGGGUCGCCGCCCGAGUCGCCAAGCUAGGCGAUGCGAAGCCCAAGUUAUGUUAUGUACUAUUCAAUGUUGAAUUUGUCAUUUUUAUUUUUUGAGUUAUGUUUCGAAUUUUGUGACUACCUGAAUUGAUGUUGUGUGAGUGCUAAUUUUUUUUCAGAAUUUUUGAACAUUUUAAGAGCACAAUAUGAGUUCGGUGCACCGGUAGCACACAAGCUCCGGUGCACCAGAUAUUUUCCCUAUGAUGCUCAACAUCGCGGACUAUUUGUCGCUUUUCAACUAUUUUGUAUGACUAGUAAGCAUGCACGUGCAACGCACGACUGAUCGACAUGUUAUUUUAUAUCUUAACUGAGCUUCUUGGCACCAGCGUUUUGAAGCAUGGAGCGACAUUUAGUUUCCCUAGCUGCAUCUGAUAUCAUGGAGGAUAGACACCACAAAAAUCGAACCAAGAAAAGCAAGAUAAAAAGAAGUCUUACAAGGAUACAAACCCAAACUUCACAAGAUAGCGAAGGCAGCCGGAGGUGAGGUGUAAGGUGGAUGCGCUUCUUCGGCCGCCUUCAAUAACCCAGUCGCACUCAUUUGCUAGAUACACUUAGCUGCACUGGAUGAUACAAAUACAUGGACUAAAGGGGCUAGUCCAAUUAAUCAGGACAAACCCAAGCAGAUAUUACCGGGUUAUAUCCAGACGCUGGGCAAUGAUGCUUAUUGUAGAUCUUCUAUAUGAUGAAAGCACAUGUUUGAAGAGACUAAGCCUUUUGUCCCAAACAAGUUGGGGUAGGCUAGAUAUGAAACCCUUUCACGAGGACUUCCCAGGAGGUCACCCAUCCUAGUACUACUCUCGCCCAAAUGGGUUUCAUACCCAAAGGACUGGCUAGUUUUUACGUUGGUCACCCAUCCUAGUACUACUCUCGCUCAAAUUGGUUUCAUACCCAUGGGACUGGCUAGUUUUUAUGUUGGCUCGCCAAGCCUAUCACAAUCCUCCUCCUUUACCCGGGCUUGGGACCGGCUAUGCCUAGAAGACAUGGGCGGAGUUAUGAAAUCACAUGUUUCCUCAAAAAAAAAAAAAGAAGAUGAAUGGACAACUUCCAUUUAUCAUAAUGGUUGUUCAGAUUAGCAACUCCAAAGCCUUUACAAAUCCUCAUAGUGCUCAGCUCCACUAAAAUAAGUUGAUGCAUGAGAAAUAACAUUGACUAUUUCUUUAUGGAAACAGCUAACCAACAAAAAAAAUGUUUUGAAGAUAACCAUGUUCACAACAUGAUGCUCCUUCCCUCCGAGAGCCGCUACCAAGAGCAAAUUAAUUUUUUAUACAAAGCUUGUUAAUGCCCCAUUAGACGCCAAUACUACAUCAGGUUGAGAACUGCUAUACCUUCUGUCUUCAACAAGUCAAAAACUUCUUGUUGCACAUACCCAACAGCAGUAGCAAUAAUCAACCCGCCAUACUUUCAACAAUCACACCCAACCCUCAACUUUGCUUGUUGGAUCAAAGGAGCCCUCAAUAUUUACCAGUAAAAUGAAGACGGUUUAAUAUCUCUAUAAGCUAGACAUUAAUCUAUAUUUUGGGGGAAACACGUUAUGUGCUCUUUAUCAUUUUACAAGUGUAAAAGUUACAUUUAAAGUGAACGCAGCCCCAAAUGAAAAGGAGAUGCACUUGGCACACCAGAAGAGUGGUGUGUGUUUCACCAGAAGCAUGAUCUGCACAGUUUGCACGCCAUGGCACAAACAAGUUAGACACAUAAAUCCAAGAUGUAACCCGCAAGCAAACAAUGAAUUCGUUAUCCAGUACAUAUAUCAAGAGACACUAUGUGCUAGGAAUUUCCUGUGGAAAAUGCGAAGACCGUCACUUCUACUUCAUUACAAAGCUAAUAUUUGUUCCAAGGAUAACAAUAACUGAAAUGCGAUAUCAGUACUGCAUGCCUACUAUUUGUGGUUGGUAGAAAAAAGCACAACUACAUACUCCAUUUAGGCUUCAUUGUUUCUCCUCUCCUCCAUGCUAUAUAAUAUGCAGUCGGAAGGCAGGAGCAAGAACUGCAAGAAAACUUGUACCUGACCUGGAAGAUAUUUGCCCGUUUGGUGAGAACUCAAUUUCCACUAAAUCCAAUUCUUCAAAAUCUUGCACUGAUGCCUCUUGAAAAAGGCUUGAUGAUGCAGCACGUACAAAGCAUGAUUUCUAAUAGGAUAAUGGAACGCAAGUACUGGAAUUGCAACAGCAUGCACGCCGCAAAGUAUUCAGGCAUUGCAGUGCAUAAAAGGAUAUUAAAUUGGAAAAUGCAAUUCAGAAUAGUACAUUAGUGUAACUUACUGCAUGAGAGAAAAAAACAACUUGGAUUUGUCAAAAGUACAGAGAAUGAAUAGGCAAGAGCAGUGGGGAAAGACUCACCUGUCUGCUCAUAGCUUAUGAUGGUAUGGACAUUAGUUAAAAUGACAAUCUAAAUAUUUUGAUAACUGUGAAAGAGGAGGUACACAAUACAUCAAGAUGCGGUGAACGAGCUGAUACCUGCGUUUCAAGAAACGGUAAUAGUCUUGGGCUGCUGCACCCUUUAUUGAUCGUCCCCAAAAGAACAAGAUAAUACAAAAUUCACAGUAGAGAUAUACGUUGGUCUCUGCCUAAGCAUGCUAGGCAUGAUGUAUGCAUCAUAUUUCAUAUAUGCAAGUGGAAAACAGUGGAAAACACCCACGUACAUCUUUAACAAAAAGAUGUUGCCUAGAUAGAAUGUUUUGCAUGGCAAAUCCAAUACGUAAACUGCAAGCAAACAAUGAAAUGAGUUUGGUAAUAAUAUCAAAUUUCUAUCCAGCCACCAAAAUGUACAAAGAAAAUCAAACGCUUAUGGCCAACUGUCAUCGUUCAACUGAGUCUCGUACUGCCUGGGCGCUCGCCUGGGAAAGAAGAUUAGCAACGAGAAAGGACCGAAGGUGCAGAUAUGUCACUGAUGACUUCCUGAUUAAGAUAGGACUACAUCAGGGGUCAGCUUUGAGCCCUUAUCUUUUUGCCUUGGUGAUGAAUGAGGUCACAAGGGAUAUACAAGGAGAUAUCCCAUGGUGUAUGCUCUUUGCGGAUGAUGUGGUGCUAGUUGAUGAUAGUCGGACGGGUGUAAAUAGGAAGUUAGAGUUAUGGAGACAAACCUUGGAAUCGAAAGGGUUUAGGCUUAGUAGAACUAAAACCGAGUACAUGAUGUGCGGUUUCAGUACUACUAGGUGUGAGGAGGAGGAGGUUAGCCUUGAUGGGCAUGUGGUACCUCAGAAGGACACCGUUUGAUAUUUUGGGUCAAUGCUGUAGGAGGAUGGGGGUAUUGAUGAAGAUGUGAACCAUCGAAUCAAAGUCGGAUGGAUGAAGUGGCGCCAAGCUUCUGGCAUUCUCUGUGACGAGAGUGCCACAAAAGCUAAAAGGCAAGUUCUACGGGACGGCUGUUCGACCUGCAAUGUUGUAUGGCGCUGAGUGUUGGCCGACUAAAAGGCGACAUGUUCAACAGUUAGGUGUGACGGAGAUGCGUAUGUUGAGAUGGAUGUGUGGCCACACGAGGAAGGAUAGAGUCCGGAAUGAUGAUAUACGAGAUAAAGUUGGGGUAGCACCAAUUGAAGAGAAGCUUGUCCAACAUCGUCUGAGAUGGUUUGGGCAUAUUCAACGCAGGCCUUCAGAAGCUCCAGUGCAUAGCGGACGGCUAAAGCAUGCGGAGAAUGUCAAGAGAGGUCGGGGUGGACCGAAUUUGACAUGGGAGGAGUCCGUUAAGAGAGACAUGAACGAUUGGAGUAUCACCAAAGAACUAGCUAUGGACAGGGGUGCGUGGAAGCUUGCUAUCCAUGUGCCAGAGCCAUGAGUGAUCGCGAGAUCUUAUGGGUUUCACCUCUAGCCUACCCCAACUUGUUUGGGACUAAAGGCUUUGUUGUUGUUGUUGUAGAGAGAGACAAAAAAUGUACCUACAGGUUGCAUUCGUAUUCGACUGGUUUUGGGGUGGAUCUAUUGGUCCGCGUGUUCCAGAACAUGGAUGGUGGCACCGUCCCUUCUCCAUUGGAUGCGCGUGUUCUAGAACAUGGAUGGUGGCACCGUCCCUUCUCCAUUGGAUGCAGCUGAUCACCAGGCACCAGCACCAGCAGACGGUUUACGAUGGAGGCCGCCUGCCGGCGUUGGCGUAAUUCCAGCACAUUUUGGUCCUUGGCAGCAUACCAACAGGCGGGGCGGCGAGGGGAGGACUGUAGGGGGAGGAGCACCUACUCAAGGCAAACGGCAGAAUCGACGGCCAACGACAUCGAUACAUCGGGGGCGAACUGUGACCUAAGGAUACGACGAGCAAGGGCGGAGAAAGGUCAGAGAGUCGCGCGGGGAGAUGUAGCAGGCAGAGCAGCACACGGGACAGCGGCAGCGAAACCCUAUCGCUGGUGCAUGCCCCACGCAUUCCUCAUCUCUUCUCUCCAGCUAAUCCUCCCUUCUUUUGCGUGGUAACAAAUCCUCCCUUUUAAUUUGCCAUUAAUACCUGAGCAGACCGAACCAAUCCAUGUGAACGCCAUAUUGCUGAAUCGUGGGCUAUGCAGCUGCAUGCAGGCCACUAAUCAUGGGAAUAAAUUUAUUUUUUGGUCACGCAGCGAAACAUUCCGUUCGCUCGCUCGAUACAUGGCAGAGUUUUCGUCCGCUCUGGUAAACUGCUAAUCGUACACAGGUGAUGGUUCAUUUUUAUGUGGACGGUUAGAUCUAAUUAGAUGGGCUGGAUCAUGAGGUGGUAUUUUAUCUUGAUUGUCCUGUAUACAUGUUUUCGGGUGCGCUUAGGGAAGAAUAUAUUUGCUUGUUUAAUAGCAGUAGAGAUGACUGGCUAACCAUCUUUGUGAAGAAAUAGUCGACUUUGUACCAUUUCAUGUAGUGAUUUUUGUUUCCUUGCGGCUGGGUAUUGCACCUAUUAAUAGGGUGCUAAUAAUGUUUUCUUGUAUGGACUCUAAUUUUUUGCUUUGAGAAAAUAUUAACCCAUAAAUUUCUCAACAUUCUAGGAAGUUCACGACUACCUUAAAAGCCUCUGUCCUGAUCUCCACAUUACCAGAGGUGAAUAUGAUGAGGAUGCUCGCUACCCAGAGACUAAGACAGUUACUAUUGGUCAGUUCAAGCUAGGGCUAUGCCAUGGCCAUCAGGUUCGCUCUUAAUUGAUAAUUUUGUUUUGCUCUUUUAAUUUCUGUCAUGCUCAUUGUUGGAGAAAAAAUAUUCAUGGCCUUUUUUGGUUGUUGAAAGUCAACAGUUAAUACCUUGAAUUGGAGUUCUUGUUGUUGACAAAUUAUAAACACUUUUUUUAUGCCGUACACCUCAGAAACAUGGUUGAGUUUUUAUCACUAGCAUGUUUGUCAUUUUCUCUUGUUGGCAUGGUCUGUUGCUGUAAUAAUUGUUAGGUGAUGUUUUGUUCAAGAGCUGUAGUGUUAGUUUAAUUGUAGUAGGAUUACAGGGAGGUGGGUAAUGCAUGGUUGACGCAGUGGUUCAAUCAGGGAAAUGGUUUUAGAUCCCAUGUGUUCUGUUGAGGAAGUGGUAUAAUAAGAGUUACCGAAUCACAUACCAAUGUAGUGCGAUUCUGGUGGGAUAUUGCUGAACCAAUAGCUUCUUAGUGUAUUGUAGUGUGGGCAUUUUUAUGGGAUUAAUAAAUAGUUAAUUAAUACGAGUUCACGUAUCAGAAAGAUCAACGCUAAACGCAAUUUGCUUUUCUUCUGCCUCUCUAUUAUGGCAGUAUAAUUUGCUCUUAGUAUUUUCAGUGAGAAAUGUUUACUAACUACUAGGAUCAGAUCCUUAACAAUUAAGCAUACAUAUCUAUGCCAUAUGAUCAUAUUGUCACUUGGAAGGUCAACUGUCUUACUGUUCUCCUACCGAGUCGCACAAAUUGUAACCAUUGACAAUUGCUGUUACCGGGCGAAUUGGUUGAGAUGUUGCAAUCUAGAUGCCGUCGUGUGUUCAAAUGAUCCAGGGUUCAUUGAAGCAAAGGUGUCCUUCAAAGUUCGAUGAGUGAUGGACCUUAUGUGGUUUAGCAUUGACUGGAGUAACGGAGUGAAUGAGGGUGCACACAAUUUUCUUUCCACAUAUUUCCGCAUCCAAUAUUUACAUCCAAGAAAUAGAUUGAUAAAAAAUGUCCAUGAAGUGAUCUGAUACUCACUCUAUAGGGAUAUCAAGCACGCUCAGUACAUUGAACUUUCACCUUUGCAGAGUCAUGCAUGAUGCAUGAUACUCCCUCCGUUCCUAAAUAUUUGUCUUUCUAGAGAUUUCAACAAGUGACUACAUACGGAGCAAAAUGAGUGAACUCUACACUCUAAAAUAUGUCUAUAUACAUCCGUAUGUGGUAGUCCAUUUGAAAUCUCUAAAAAGACAAAUAUUUAGGAAUGGAGGGAGUAGUUCAUAGUUGGUUUGUUAUGUCUACUUUAUUCACCUGCACCAUAUCAUGCACACCACUGACAAUUUUGAGUAUGCCAAUGUCUCUUGUGUUCUAGUAAAAGUCGUCUUCGAAUGUAAUUUGCCAACAACCUUUUUUUCUCCCAAGAAAUCACAAAAGCCUUGUUUCAUUGCAUUGAUAGAAAGGAGAGUCUGUACAAGCCCAAAGAUGGGCAACACCUAGAGAAUACUACCCGACGGUCACAGUUGCUAGGCAAGGUAAAUGCCGAAAGCAAAGCCGCACUUGUCGAUGGCCAUUGCCUGGCCUCUGUUUUGAAUGUGUCAAGUAGGUGUGUCAAGUUGAGCCACACCUUGUCGAAGAUGAUCGCGUUUUGAUGCUUCCAGAUGCACCAAGCUGCCAGCAUUAUAGCUGAGAACGGGCUCUUCUGGACUGAGGUGUGGAUUGAAUGGCAACUUAGUUGCCACCAAUCCACAAAAUCAACACUCGCAACACUUGAGCGGUGGGGGUGGGAGAGGGGUCAGUCGGAUCCAGGAGAGCAACUCAUGCCACACCAUGCGCGAGAAAUAACAACCGGUUAGGAGAUGAGCCAUUGUUUCCCACUGGUCUCAAAGCAUGCAAUGAGGAGCAUGAUGGAGACCCCGCCGCGCAAGCCGCUGGGAGGUCCAAUAACAAUCCUGACAGGCUAGCCAACGGAAGAACUUGACUCGAGGAGGAGGUCCGUACCAAAUCAGCUCCAAGAGCUUGAAACCGUCGCUCCCUGAAAGAGUGUGUCGCAACAGCUCUUAGAAGUGUACCGGUUGUCUGCAGUCCAAUGCCAAAGAAGGACGUCUGGGGUGGUGGUUAGCUGCAUCAUGCACAACUACCGGCAGAUCUCGAUAGGCAGGGGGUCAAGGCCCCCUGAUGUUCGAGAUCCAUCAACGGCUGGUCAGGGCCUCCCGAAUGGUUCGUCGCUUCCUGGUGCAGCCAGAGACCAAGAGCACUAACUCGGGAGCCAGCUCCCCAUUGCCAUGACCAUCGAGCGAGCGAUCCUCCCAGAAUAGGAGCAACUCCAUCAACCAUCUUGGUGGAGACUCAAACACCCAUCGCUCGUCUUUGGACGGAGGGGGUCUGUGUGUAUCCUCCACAACCAGCGAACCCCGAGACCAAUUGUCGUGUGACCAAGGUCCGGAACACCCAAGAGAAGGGGCCUACACACCCGCAACUAGUUGACAUGACAAUGGUCGCCGUCGUACCCACCUAGAGGAAACCGCAGGAUCUUGUCAAUUUUCUUUCGGGUCUUCUUUUGCAUGCCCAGGACUACUAAGUGGUGCAAAGGCAUGGUGGCCAGGACCAACUUGACCAAGGUGAGCGCCCCGCCUUUGCCAUCAUGGAUGCCCAGGCGGUUUGCGAUCAUGUCUUCCAAAGGUUGGAAAGCCUUACACGAGGACUUCCUGAGCCUGAGUGGGAUCCUGAGGUACUUGAUCAGGAAAGGAGCUAGCUGACACUCCAUCACCGUUUUCUUCUCCAAGGCCUCCUAACACCUAAUGAGGGACACCGAACAUUUGGCAAAGUUGGUGUGCGCAUGCAAGCUGCGGACAAUGGGCAACUUCACCCUAUCCGUGUAGUAGAAGAUGACAACAUCGUCCGUGUACAGUGAGACGGGUUGUCAGGUCGCGUGUUGCUAGGUGACGGAGCAAUCCGAACUCUCUUAUAACCUACCAAAAAACCUGUUGAGAGUGUCUACCACCAACACAAACAACAUAGGGGAGAGCGGGUUCCCCUGCUACAUGCCCCUAUGAUGCUAGACUAGAGGCCCUGGUUCACCAUUGAGCAUCACUCCUGUCCUACCGGUGGACAGGAGUAUGGCAAUCCACUCAGGGAAGCGUUGGCCAAAGCCUACCCGCUGAAGUACCUCAAAUAGAGCCCACAACAUUGAGCUGAAUGCAUGAGCGAUAUCCAACUUGAGCAUGGCACGCGACUCACCCAUCUGGUGCACCGUGCAGAUAUCUUGCCGUCUGCUGAACCAGCAUAAAAUUAUCACGAAUGCAACGUUUCUUGAUGACUGUGCAUUGGUUCUCCUCAACCAAGCCCCCCAAUCUGGGAGGCAACCUGCUAGCCAACGUCUUGGCCACCACCUUGGCAAAGAUGUGUAUGAAGUUGAUGGGUUGGUAGUCUCAAAGGGUUGAUGGGUCGGAUAUCUUGGGCAACUGGAUUAGUAGGGCUUGGUUUAGACCAUGGAAACCCUGCCCACACAACGAGUGCAACUUGGUGAAGGCUACAAGAUUGCAGGACCUCUGCCGUGAAUCUGUCCGGCCCUGACGCCUAUCCCCGCAACAGCUGACAAAUCACCUCCUAAGCUUCCUCGUUAAUGGGGUCGUCGAGGCUGGCCAAGUUCUCCAAGCAUGACUCUGGUAAUUCUAGGUUCAACGAGAACUCGCAGCCCUCGCCUGUGCCAAGAAGCAUGUUGAAGUGAUCGAAGUUAGCCUUGGCCAUAGUUGCGUGGUCAGAAACCACCACUUCGUCGGCUACAAGGCCGUGGAUCACUUGCUUUUGCUUUUUGUAGGAGGUUGGUGUCACCCUCAGCCAACCAGGCAAUCUUCCAACCUUGCCUAGCCAUGGUGCGAAGCGAGUCCUAGGUAGGCGUGCUUCAGCCUAGCACGCAACUUGCGCUCAAGCUUCGAGAGCUGCCUCAACUUCAUGGUAACAUCGAAGCGGAAGAUGAGCUCCCUGGAAAUCACAAGUGGUAGUUUGACACUACCCAUCUGCUUGUCGUUCCAACUCCUCAACUGACGAGUUUUGUUCUUGAGCCGCAUGACGAGGCGUCAAAAGGGGUCGGGCUCAUCGAUCGCGGCCGCCCAUACCCUCAACAACCGUCUUGUUGAAUCCAGGCUCCUUGGCCCACACUCUCGAACUAGAAACGUCCUCUACAGGGAGGCCACAGUGUGCAAUCCAGAAGGGGCAGUGGUCGGAGAUAAAGGUGGAGAGACAGCGAGGCGAACAAUUUGGGUGGAGCUCCUCCUAGUUCAUCGUGCUCGAGCUUGACCAAAUCGGGAGCACCACACUCGUUAGACCACGUGUAGCGUUGACCAUGAAGGUACAACUCUUUGAGCUCGCAAUCAUUUAGGUAGCAGUGCCCCCUGUGCGGCGGUGGAGGUUGUUGUUGCUCUUGUCCUCGUUGUGGUGGGUCAUACUGAAGUCACUUCAAAGUACCCAAGGGCCCGGACGUAUAGCUCUCAUGUUGUAGGGUGGAACCCUAAGUGAAGAUCUUUCACGAAUUGGAGGGGGAAUCCCCAAGAACAAGAUGAACACAAGAGGGAAAACAAGAGGAACACUCAAGAACAAGUCCAAAUCACACAUCCACUAGACUAACAAACACACAAGAUCCACAAGGUACAUGAACAAUCAAAGGGAAAUAAGAUACAUGGUAGAGUUCAUCCCAAAUCCUAUGAAGGAGAUGAGGGCUUGAUGAUCUAGGUAGAUCCUUCCCUCAAGGGGGGCUUGAAUCCCUAGGGAUCUUCUCCAAUGGAGGUCAUGAUCUCCAUGAGGAGGAAGAUGAGCAAAGCUCUCUCUUUGUCUAUCAAAUACUUUGCUAUCCUCUAAAUGAGCUAGGAGAUGCCCUUAUAUAGUUUAGGGACGAAAUAAGAGAGGAGGGGGGAAUACAAGGGCAAAAAGCCCAAAAGGCACGCAGGCCUCGGAGGGGUCCGGGCACCCGGUGCAAAGGGGUCCGGGCACCCGGACCGGACAGGGACCCGAUGAAGGGGGCCCGGGCACCCGGGGUCCUAAGCCCGGGCACCCGGGGUCGGUGUAGGCGGCUGGGCGGCCUCGGCCGGGCACCCGGGGCGGGGGCUGGGCCGGCGCUGGGAGGAGGUCGGGCACCCGGGGGUGGCGACCCGGGCACCCGGGGUGGGCUGCACAGCACCCUGGUGGUCAGGGCNNNNNNNNNNNNNNNNNNNNNNNNNNNNNNNNNNNNNNNNNNNNNNNNNNNNNNNNNNNNNNNNNNNNNNNNNNNNNNNNNNNNNNNNNNNNNNNNNNNNNNNNNNNNNNNNNNNNNNNNNNNNNNNNNNNNNNNNNNNNNNNNNNNNNNNNNNNNNNNNNNNNNNNNNNNNNNNNNNNNNNNNNNNNNNNNNNNNNNNNNNNNNNNNNNNNNNNNNNNNNNNNNNNNNNNNNNNNNNNNNNNNNNNNNNNNNNNNNNNNNNNNNNNNNNNNNNNNNNNNNNNNNNNNNNNNNNNNNNNNNNNNNNNNNNNNNNNNNNNNNNNNNNNNNNNNNNNNNNNNNNNNNNNNNNNNNNNNNNNNNNNNNNNNNNNNNNNNNNNNNNNNNNNNNNNNNNNNNNNNNNNNNNNNNNNNNNNNNNNNNNNNNNNNNNNNNNNNNNNNNNNNNNNNNNNNNNNNNNNNNNNNNNNNNNNNNNNNNNGUGAUCUUCAUCACGAUGGGAAAGAGAGGGCGUCGCCGUGUAGGAGUUGACAACCACCAAGUACUCAUCAUGUGGAAGCUCGAAAUGGUCACUCUCCAAUGUCGCACCGUCUUGUGAUUCCUUCAAAAGGAACGAGUAGAACAAACACUUGGAAAAACAAAUGCGGUUAGCAUUAGAGCAUAACCAAGCAUUCAAGAGGUGAGUAACCAAACAAGUGUCGUCAUCAAGUAUAGCAUAUGGUGUGACAAGGGAUUGUGGCAUGGCAUGUAAGCAUAUAAAUUGAGCACAUGAAGAAGCAUCAUGGAAACAAUCAUGCAAGGGUGAGGUAAAGGUGCUAAUUUGUGGGACAAGUGAACAAGCAUCUACCUCAAUGUCAUAGCAAGCAUGCAUAAGACUCUCAAUGAACGUUCUAUGGUAGGCAUAAGAGUCAUCCACAACACCCAAGAAGAUGAUAUGACUAAACACAUGCAAGUGCAAGACAAUCCAAGCAUAAUGUGCAUAGGGUGUAGUGAAAAACGAGUGGCACUCAACACAAUAGAAAGAGAAAUUGUUCAUCAUGUGUGAGGCAAUCAAGGCAAGCAUGUAGCAAUCAAUGGGACAUGGCAUAUGUGAAGGAAUGACAUUGUUGCAACCAAACAUGUGAUAGGAGCAAGUAAUCCAAGAAGUGGAUGCAACAUGAGAAAGCAUAAAAAUCAAGUCGUGCAAACUAGUAGAGCGAAGAUGCAACACACUAGAGGAAAUCAUGGCAAUCAUGUCAUGUGAGCAAAUAAUAAGCAUAGACAAUGCACAUGGCAUAUCGCAAGCACGAUUACAAAGCAAGAUAUCAUCAUAGUCAUGGGGCUCAUAGCAAACAUGGCAAUAACAAGCAAUAUUUCCACCAAGCUUGCAAAUACACAUACAAGUAGUAGAGUCAAUCAUCAUGUGUAAUGCAAAGCAUGGGUCACAAAUGCAUGGCAAAGGCAUAGGAAUGAGCAUAUCAUGCAAAGUGAACAUGGCAAUAUGGGCAUAAAGUGAGAAGUGGUAAAUAACCCAUAACCAAGUGAGAGCCAUGUAGAAGAAAUGCGCGAAGUCCUUGCGCGAAGAGAGCGGUGGGAAAGACACUCCAUGGAAUCCCAAGUCAUCGUUGCUCUCUAGAGCUCGUUUUGUCAACUCAUGGGAUUGUGAGGUUGACAAGUAUUCAUGGGUACCUACACAAAAGAAACACAAACCAAAGAAAUUGUGCGCGUGGUAAAUGUACACAUCAUCCAUCAUAUGAUGUGUAUGUGCACAUGUGAGUUAGCACAAGAUAAGCAUCGCUCAAAGAAAUUUGAUGCAUGGUAUAAGAACAUGUCAUCCAUCAUGAAAGAAUAGUUAUUGUGUAUGACACGAUGGGGGCACAAAUUGAGAAUGCAAGCAUAUGGCACAUCACUAGCAUGUUUAUAUAUGGGGAGCAUAUGGUGCACACAAGUAGUGUGAUCAUGCAAUGGAUAGGAUGAAUCAAAAUCUCCUAAAAUGUAUGAGGAAACUAUGGGGGUCUCCUCAUGAGCAAUAGUGGAAACAUCAUAUGGAGAAUAUGAACUACAUCCAAAACAAUGUAUAUCCGAAGCUAGGUGGUCAUGGCAUGGCAUAUGAGAUAAAUGAUGCAAAGGAAGCAUACCAAUGAGAUAAAUGAUGCAAAGGAAGCAUACCAAUGAGAUAAAUGAUGCAAAGGAAGCAUACCAAUAUCUCCUCAUGAGAUAAAUGGCCUCGCAUGCCCUAUCAACUACCUCACUCUCUCUAUGUGGUGGUGGCUCACUCACUCCCUCAAGGUAGGUGCACUCAAUGUCACAUAUGGUGGAGUCACUCAAAUCACUCAAGUGGUGGUGUUGGCGGCUCUCCUCACAUGGAAAUUGUGGCAACUCAUCAUAUAUGGGGCUAGUGGUGAAGUCACUCUCACUCUCAAUAUGGUGGCACAAGUCACUCAAGUUAUCAUACGUCGUCGUGGUCGAAGGGAAAAUCGCAUGCUCAACCAUCUCGUCGCCGUCGCCGUGGAGGAAGGCCGAUGUAGGCGUACUCGUCGGAGGUAGGUGAAGAUGCCAUACGUCCAAAGGCGAAGAUGCCUUGAUGACACUUGGCGAAGAUGCCGAAGUGGUGGUAGUAGUAGUAGCUCCGUCUUGUUGGUGCUCGUCUCGCGGUCUUCUCUUGUGCUCAUGAUGUCUGGCUGUAGCUUGAUGUAGAGCUUGUUGGGACUUGUAGGUGUACGCAUCGCGAGCAGCUUCAUCUUGAUGGUGUUGUAGUGCUUGAGCUCGAUGACGUUCCGAAGAUUGGCCACUUGAGCGUCGCCGCCUUGAAGAUGACGAAGGGGAAGAAGACUUGUAGUUGGCCAUCAUGUCUCGUACUUGAUCCCUUUGUUCGGCCAACUUGGUGUCGAGGUAGUCCCUUAUCCUUGCUUCGUUUUGGCGAAUGUCGAUGGCGAGUCGCUCAAUGCCUUGCAUUGCUCGUUGUAGUCCGAAGAUGGACGUUUUGGAGAUGUAGUUGUUCGCGCUGUCGUUGUCGUGGAAGACCGGAGAUGAAAUGCCUUGCCUAUCCAUCACAAGACUCGAGUAGAGGUGAGUAGGAAAUGAGAUAAACAAUACCAAGUUACCUUUUCUCAAAGUUGAGGAUGUAUCCCGUUUCACUCAAUGUGAGAUGAAAGAAUAGUGGAAUUGGUACCGGACUUGUUCACUCACACCUAUCAAGUAAAGCUUAUAGUGGAGCUCGGUGAGGAUAGUGGCACAAAAAUUUGGUGCAAAAUGUUAGCAAGAGUCAAUAAUGUUGGAAAAGAUUCACAAAUUCGCAAGCGAAACAAGUAGACCAAUAGCAAUAUGUGGCACACGGAAACACACACACGGAUGGAUAAAUGGGGUCGUGCAACCAAGGAAUGAGCACAAAAUGUGGAAUCCACGGAAAAACGCUCGUGUUGCACAACUCAAGAGAGACGCUAGCACGAUUGCUCAAUAGGCGGAUACGACACUUGUGCAAAACCUAUAAGAUGCAAGAUGUAUGAGCUUUCUAUCCCAAGUAUGCUAUGUGUAUGAUGUUCCCGGUGUUUCGCACACGAUGAUCCAAGAUGAUCAAUAUGGUAGUAUGGUAUGCAAUGUGGCGAUGCUAUGGCUCUUGCUUACAAGCUCUUUGCUCUCUUUUUCUUUUGCUUAAAAGCUUAUUGUUUUUUUUUGAUAUGGCCACUUAUGCGAAAUACACAAACCAAGAUAGCAAUUGUGUAUAUGCGGGAACGAUCUUGUGACACAAGGGAUGAUAUGAUGAUACCACGAUGAUACCAAUAUGAUAUGGUAUGUAUGCAAUGGAAGGUACGGAUCACUAAUGUGCACAAGUAACGUUGCCGGCAAUACUCAAAUGGCUAGUCUCGAUAGGCAAGUGACGCAAAAUGGGCUAAGGGGUUAACAAUGUAAUGGCAAGAAUGUACAAUGAAGGGAUACCACGAUACCAAGAUGAUAUAGAGGUUACCGUUCUUGCUUACGGUUAGGUUGUCAAAAUGGUGAAGUGGUCGAUGUCGAUGACGACCUCGUGGCGAUGAUGAGUGGCGGUGUUCUUGAUGUAGAUACCAAGAUGAUGUAGACCCGUCCCUAAGUAGCCGAAACACCUUAGGAAACGGUAAAAAACCGCGAACUCAAAAUCUCAAGGAAAAUGUCAAAUGGCGAUAGCGGAAUGCGUUGGUGGUUCCGGAGUUAGCAAUGCGGAAGUGGUGGUGGUGGUUGAUGACGAAGCAACCGUCCCUAAGUAGCCGAAACACCUUAGGAGACUCAAGUCACCACUCAAGCAACCACAAAUGCUAUAUGGAUCGAAAAUGGGUUAAGUUGCGGAAAGCUAUGGUGGUUUUGCGGAUGAUAUGGUGGAUGGCCUAUGCAAAGAUGCCAAAAUGCCAAAUUUUUGAUGGAGUCAAAUGAUGUUGGAACCUAUCUAGAUGGAUGGGGGAUGUCAAUAGCUACUCAACGAGCUAAAGAACGUCAAAAUCGGACUCCNNNNNNNNNNNNNNNNNNNNNNNNNNNNNNNNNNNNNNNNNNNNNNNNNNNNNNNNNNNNNNNNNNNNNNNNNNNNNNNNNNNNNNNNNNNNNNNNNNNNNNNNNNNNNNNNNNNNNNNNNNNNNNNNNNNNNNNNNNNNNNNNNNNNNNNNNNNNNNNNNNNNNNNNNNNNNNNNNNNNNNNNNNNNNNNNNNNNNNNNNNNNNNNNNNNNNNNNNNNNNNNNNNNNNNNNNNNNNNNNNNNNNNNNNNNNNNNNNNNNNNNNNNNNNNNNNNNNNNNNNNNNNNNNNNNNNNNNNNNNNNNNNNNNNNNNNNNNNNNNNNNNNNNNNNNNNNNNNNNNNNNNNNNNNNNNNNNNNNNNNNNNNNNNNNNNNNNNNNNNNNNNNNNNNNNNNNNNNNNNNNNNNNNNNNNNNNNNNNNNNNNNNNNNNNNNNNNNNNNNNNNNNNNNNNNNNNNNNNNNNNNNNNNNNNNNNNNNNNNNNNNNNNNNNGUGCGGGUGCCCGGGGUUGACGGAUUUGGGCGGAAAUUCGUGGGAAAGUGCAAAAAAUUGGUGGAUUUCGUGGAGGGAAAGGUGGAGAUGGAUGGGGGGAAGGCUAGAUCCACUGGAAACCAAGCAAAUCCAACAAAAUCUCAACAAACCAACAAAUCACAAAAUAUUUUGGGGCUAUUUUUGGUGGGUAAUUUUCGAAUUUGGGGAAGAACACAACAAAAUUAGGCUAGAGAACAAGAAGGGGGGCUCCAAUUUCGUGAGAAACCAUGGCUCAUGAUACCAAGAUGUUGUAGGGUGGAACCCUAAGUGAAGAUCUUUCACGAAUUGGAGGGGGAAUCCCCAAGAACAAGAUGAACACAAGAGGGAAAACAAGAGGAACACUCAAGAACAAGUCCAAAUCACACAUCCACUAGACUAACAAACACACAAGAUCCACAAGGUACAUGAACAAUCAAAGGGAAAUAAGAUACAUGGUAGAGUUCAUCCCAAAUCCUAUGAAGGAGAUGAGGGCUUGAUGAUCUAGGUAGAUCCUUCCCUCAAGGGGGGCUUGAAUCCCUAGGGAUCUUCUCCAAUGGAGGUCAUGAUCUCCACGAGGAGGAAGAUGAGCAAAGCUCUCUCUUUGUCUAUCAAAUACUUUGCUAUCCUCUAAAUGAGCUAGGAGAUGCCCUUAUAUAGUUUAGGGACGAAAUAAGAGAGGAGGGGGGAAUACAAGGGCAAAAAGCCCAAAAGGCACGCAGGCCUUGGAGGGGUCCGGGCACCCGGUGCAAAGGGGGCCGGGCACCCGGACCGGACAGGGACCCGGCGAAGGGGGGACCGGGCACCCGGGGUCCUAAGCCCGGGCACCCGGGGUCGGUGUAGGCAGCUGGGCGGCCUCGGCCGGGCACCCGGGGGUCCAAGGCCCGGGCACCCGGUCAGGGCUGGAGCGGGGCGCGGGCAAGGCUGGGCACCCGGAGCCAAGGGGCCGGGCACCCAGGGCGGGGCUGGGCCGGCGCUGGGAGGAGGCCGGGCACCCGGGGGUGGCGACCCGGGCACCCGGGGUGGGCUGCACAGCGCCCUGGUGGUCAGGGCCGGGCACCCGGGGUGGCCUGGGCCUUGGCCAACCGGCAGCUAGUGGCCAGGCACCCGGAGGGGUCCGAGGCCUCCGUAGCUUCGCGCUCUUCUUUUCUUCAUGUGCUUGUGUCUCCGUCCUCGCCUCUUCACGGUCUUCUUCUUGGUACCUACGAGUGCAUAGAGUUUCCAUAUGAGGUAGAAUCCGACUCUCGUGUGACACCGAAAGAGACCCGGAGAGGAAAGAGUUCACCUCGGUUUCGAUGGUGCGUGCGCGAGCUCUUGUCGUAGGUCCUCUCCGUGCUUGCGGUGUGACGUCCAUGGGGAUGGUCGAGGGAUGCUCCGCAUCAUCUCACCUCUCGCAUUUUGUUGAGGAAGACAAUCUUGUCCGCGUGCCCUUGUGGUCCUUGAGACGCAAGUCACGACACAAGAGCUGUAAGAGCAACUCCAACGCGCCGACCCAAAUGGACGAAAUGCGGACCGACCCAAACGGACGCGCGCUUUGUCCAUUUGGGUCGGCCAGGCGGACGUGCGCGUCCGCUUUUUGAUUUGGGUCGGCUGGUGCGCCCAACGGAAGGCAUACCCAAUUUUGCCCAUGUGGCCGAAGUAAACUUAAUAAAAUACUCCUUUCGUUCCUUUAUAUAAGGUGUAUUUGUUUUUUGAUAAAAUUCCAUGUGGGCCCGCGGUAGGUGGCUGCGUUAAAUACGACCGCUUCCUGAUUUUCUAUAUCUCUCCUUGUAGCAAAAGAAGGAACUAUCUCUCUGUCAAUUGCAAGUAUCUCUUAUUUUCCUGGACUAACUGAUUUACUUGCCACUAACAAACGAAUUUGCCAAGGGUAAUUUUGUCCUAACUUGUCUAUAUUUAGGUGCCUUGGUCACCGUGCCAAAAAUAAUACACCUUACAUAAAGAAACGGAGGGAGUAUAAUUAAACAUAAAUGGCCAGUCAACCGCUGACCAAAGUCCUCUUAAACACUACGAGCACACAUGCCCGUGCGUUGCUAUGGGAGAAAACUAAGUUGUCCAUAUCCUUGUGUAUCGGUGAUGAGUGCCAACGGGUUGAGCGAGGCGAGAUUCCGGCCUUCGGCACAAGAUUUGUCCAAUAUCCUAGGGUGGCAUUUGCACAUGUUUCCCCGAUUGGCGAGCAUGACGACAAUGCCAACGAUCUAGGCGGACAGUCCGACCUGGAAAUCACAAGCUCUUCCUCAUCACCCAAAACACAUCCCGGUGUACCUUCUAUUCAAGGUGGCUCGUCUGAUCAUAGUUGUCAGCUCUCAAUCUAGAGUAAGGACACCAUGGUGAGUUCGCCACACACUUGGAGCGGCUCCACCCUUCACAUUCAUUGGUCAAUGUUAUUGUCGAUUGGGGGAAAUCCAUGAGAACUCGGCCAUCUCAUUUCCUCUUUCAUCGCAUCCCACAUAAACCACAACUUCAAAAUUGUAGUAUUGUGGAGAUUUUUAAACUCAGUAGUGGUAUAGACAUGGUACCACAAAAAUAUUAUAGAAGAAGCUUUUUAUGCAGCUAUGACAACAUGACAGUAAGGUGGUCACUUCAUAAUUAAAGUGCCCAACUAACGAAAGUUUUUUCACAACCAAAAGCACCGGCAAUAGCACAUGUUCCUCCAAAACUAAGGGGAACAAUGCAUCAAGCACACGCUGGAACCAUUUCAAAACAGGUAAGAUUGUAAUUUAAUGACGCUGGAACCAUUUCAAAACAGGUAAGACUGUAAUUUAAUGACGUCGAACGGAAAUGAAAAACCAACACCUGAGGAUGGUUGCUUAUGUAAGAACAGAAACGUUGAAAAACAAAAGAAUAAACCAUUUUCAUAAAUUUCCUAAUACAUGCAGAUGAAUAAAAGUUGGAAGGCCCAAACGGCAUGCGUCAAUACACAUGCAUCCUAGAUGAAAGUGAAUGCAAAAACAUGAGGUGCAGCCAAAACCAUCAACCAGAUGAAGGAAUAAUCAUUAUAUGCUUUAUGGAAUAAUCUGGAGCCUGGACAUGUUUAUCAUUGAUCCAGACUAAUCUCAAAUGUGAUUUUUUAGCUUAUAAAUACAUGGUUGAAUGACCACAGCAAUUUUUUGACAGGAGGCAGUUUAGUGAAAUGUAAUUGUUCAUCUGCAGAGAAAGCUCGUCUGCUCAUGCAUUGAAUGUAUAAAGGCAAGUUUUCUUUUUUGGUGUGUGAGGAAAUAUGAACCGGUAAGUAGUUUGUGCAUCCUUCUGCUCGUCUAGCUGAUAAGGAAUUCCCUGUAGUCAUUUUGCUACGGUAGACAUGCAAUGUAAAACCCCAUGAUUAUCAGCCGGGUUUGAAAGCUGUAUGGCAGUCAAUCUAACAGAAUCUAAAUGCAACUUGAUUUUGCAGCUUUAAACCUCAUUAAAUUCACUUACAUGUAUGUGGUGAACUUGCCAUAUAAAAUUCUAAAGAAAAAUCUGACCUUGUAAAUCUCUAAUACUUACAUGUAUGUGGUGAAAGUCAGACCUCGUAAGAACCAAGCACAAAACUGAUAAGCAGAUACAAGAGGUUGCUGCAUAUUUUUCCAUAAAUGAUGGUCACACCAACUUACUUAUAUGGGAUAGACAUCUGAAUAAAGAGGCCCCGGUGGUGACUGGUGACGCACUUAAUAGCACGGGACAUUUAGUAUCGACUAAGCUAGCUCUGAAGACGGCAUUAAACUAAACACCAUACAUGGUUGCUAUGGUUGAACAUGACAGAAAAAAAGGUGAGGGGAUCAGGUUCUUGUUCUCACCAUUCAUGGUAGCACUUGAUGCACAUAUCAUGGCUGAAGUUGGGCAGCACAACCCCUGCUGUUUUUUAACUCCACGCAGACCUCCCACUCCUUGCCUAUGUCAGCGUCAAUCUCGGAGACCGACCUCUUGCUCGCCACUAACUCCGAGCAAACUGCCCUCUGCUUGUCGCACCCCUUCGUUGCAGUCACAUGAGGGAAGAAAAUGUCACAGCUAUAGACAGACAAUGGGCGUCAGUAUCAUAGGUCCAAACUCCAAACUGCAACAUGAAGCUGCACAAUUACCACAAGAACGCAAGUGUAGCGACCACAAUAUGCCACCAAUUCUUGAAUCAAACCACACAAACACAAAGACUGAGCCUUGUAGCUGAGGAUCCGAGGAGGCGGAGUGCACCGGUGAGAUUGCAGACCGUUCACUGAGCGGAGGAAGAGGAAGAAGUGUGCGUCGGGGCUGUAGGACAUCGGCAUCUGCAGAUACGCCUGUCAUAGUCCCUCGAGCAGUCGGAGAUUCGACGUUAACAACGCUGACAUGCUGGAUGUCGGCCUUGAGCACCUUGAGAGAUUCCCUGGAGGACCUCCAUGUAGCGGAGGGCACCACCACCAUCCACGGCGCACUGCACUGCACUCACGGCCACCAUCUGAGCUGAUUCUGUGCACGCGGCCCAGCUGGCGGACGACUUCAGGGGGUCAACACGGGCGAGCAUCUUCUCCCGAGACGAACUCGAGGUGGCCAUGGCCGAUCUUGUGCGUCGCGGGGCAACGACAGGCGGUGGCGGCAACUCCUCAGUGUGGACGCGGCCAUCGGCGGCCAGAUGGAGGCGGCCUCCCUCCUCCCGCGCGAGCACGGCCGCCGCCUUGUCGUCCUCGCGACCGCAGCCAUCUCCGCCGCCGGGCACGUGGGGAGCCUAUGGCGACGGGGAACCUCAGCAGCGGGAAUUGACCUGGCAGGGAGCGGGGGAGGGUAGGGGGAGGUAAUUAAACAUUAAAAAAACCGUAAGCACCCGCACGCUGCCCUAGUCGUCCGCCUUGUCCUUGCCCUUGCCAUUGUCGUCGCCGUCGGUGAGGUCGAUGAAGACGGGAGGUGGCCCAGCCCACCCGAACGCGGCUUGAUAGGCCGCCAGGGCAGCCUCCUCCGGCGUCUGCUGCUGCGGCGGCAUUGCGGCGAGGCGGGCGCACUCUUCCUCCUCCUCGCGCUCCCUCUGCAUGCGCCGCUCACCGUCGGCGCUCUCCUCCGUCAGCGCNNNNNNNNNNNNNNNNNNNNNNNNNNNNNNNNNNNNNNNNNNNNNNNNNNNNNNNNNNNNNNNNNNNNNNNNNNNNNNNNNNNNNNNNNNNNNNNNNNNNNNNNNNNNNNNNNNNNNNNNNNNNNNNNNNNNNNNNNNNNNNNNNNNNNNNNNNNNNNNNNNNNNNNNNNNNNNNNNNNNNNNNNNNNNNNNNNNNNNNNNNNNNNNNNNNNNNNNNNNNNNNNNNNNNNNNNNNNNNNNNNNNNNNNNNNNNNNNNNNNNNNNNNNNNNNNNNNNNNNNNNNNNNNNNNNNNNNNNNNNNNNNNNNNNNNNNNNNNNNNNNNNNNNNNNNNNNNNNNNNNNNNNNNNNNNNNNNNNNNNNNNNNNNNNNCGGCGACGGCGGCACCACGCAGUCGCGGGCCGCGGAGUGGGCGAGGCCCCCUGCCAGCCUCGCAUGGUAGUCCGCCUACGCCUUGCGCCGCUCCUCCUCGAUGGAGGUCUGCAUGGCCGCCGCCUGGUAGGUAGCCUCCUCCUCCUCCGGCUUGAUGAUUGGGGGAGGGGAGGGGGUGAGUCUCGACGGCGACGGCGGCACCACGCAGUCGCCGGCCGUAGAGAGGGCGAGGGCCCCUGCCAGCCUCGUAUGGUAGUCCGCCUAUGCCUUGCGCCGCUCCUCCUCGAUGGAGGUCUGCAUGGCCGCCGCCUGGUAGGUAGCCUCCUCCUCCUCCGGCUUGACGAUUGGGGGAGGCAGGGGUUGGUGUGGUGGUGCUGCAUGCCGUGGCGCCGUUGCACCUCUGUGCUCGAGGGCAAAUCAGACCUCCCAAUGGGGAAAGUCCGAUGCGUACUCCAGCAUCCGUCGCUGCUCCGGCAUGAGCAGCUCCCGGCGCCUGUGCACCAGAAUCCGCUGUGGAUCCAGAUGCUAGUCGUGCGGUAGCGUCACGUCCGGGUACGGCAGCGGCUGCCUAAACUCCCAGUGCCACCGCGUUUGGUGCACCGGAAUGUGCAGCCGGAGGAGGAAGCGCGUGGGAGGAGGAAGCGCCGGGGUGAGCUUCCCCUUCUUGUUGGANNNNNNNNNNNNNNNNNNNNNNNNNNNNNNNNNNNNNNNNNNNNNNNNNNNNNNNNNNNNNNNNNNNNNNNNNNNNNNNNNNNNNNNNNNNNNNNNNNNNNNNNNNNNNNNNNNNNNNNNNNNNNNNNNNNNNNNNNNNNNNNNNNNNNNNNNNNNNNNNNNNNNNNNNNNNNNNNNNNNNNNNNNNNNNNNNNNNNNNNNNNNNNNNNNNNNNNNNNNNNNNNNNNNNNNNNNNNNNNNNNNNNNNNNNNNNNNNNNNNNNNNNNNNNNNNNNNNNNNNNNNNNNNNNNNNNNNNNNNNNNNNNNNNNNNNNNNNNNNNNNNNNNNNNNNNNNNNNNNNNNNCGCGCCGACCCAUUUCACUGAAAUGGGUCGGCGCGGACACGAAGCGGACACAUUUUGGGUUUGGGUCGGCGCAUUUGUCCGCGGUGACCCAAACGGACAUUGGUGUACGAAAUGGGUCGCCCGGUUGGAGUUGCUCUAAUUCAAUUGUUCAACCAUCCGCGUGACUUGUCCAAGCCACCAAGAUGCUGCCCCUCGUUUCGACAGCCGGCAAGAAGAAAUAAUCAUCAAUCUACGCCCAAGGAUUCUAUUAGCAAAUUAUGGACGUGGGGUGGGGAGAUGAUAGGUGGCCGCUGGAGUCAGAGUGGAAGCCGGUGCCGGAGUUGCGGCCAGCAUGGGAGCGGGAGGGGUGGAGGAGGUCGCUACCUAGCAGGAGGGCUCCUCUAUCUUGGAACAAGUAGCUCUUGAAUUUCGAUAGACCAAUGUGAUAUUAUUCUAGUAAAAUUGUCUUUCAUGUUGUCGGUACCAAUACUUACUUCCAUCUUGGGAUUGUGCGGUUUGUUAAUGAUUGUCACUGGAAUAUUUUUCCUAACCAUUUCAACUCUGAUGACCAUCAUCAGGUUGUUCCAUGGGGCGACCUGGACUCCCUAGCGAUGCUCCAGAGGCAGCUGGAUGUGGACAUCCUCGUCACCGGGCACACCCAUCAGUUCAAGGCCUACAAGCACGAGGGGGGUGUCGUCAUCAACCCUGGCUCAGGCACAGGCGCACACAGCAGCAUCACAUAUGACGUCAACCCGAGCUUUGUGCUCAUGGACAUCGAUGGCCUCCGGGUUGUUGUCUACGUGUACGAGCUCAUUGACGGCGAGGUGAAGGUUGACAAGAUCGACUUCAAGAAGACCGCCACGAUGCAUGGCUGAUGGUGCUUACGCAUGACAGAAAUCUGAUCAGCACACCACCACCAGCACCACCACCACAAUUUCCCCGACCUGGAGGUCCUUUUCCUUUGUACCCUUCUGCUCGAUAUGAAAAACUAGAGCUGUGUUUACAUAUUAGUGAAUGGGAUAUGCGUGAUAUGAUUCCAACUCGCUCACAACCAGAAACGGUUUGUCAAGGAGGCGUCCCCCCUCAUGUAUCUCUCACUCAGUAUGGUGACCGGCUGAAUAGCAGUUGGCGCUGGCGUUUUUUUAGUGUUAAUCUCAGCAGGUCGCUGGAUCGAUGGAAAGCCCAGUAUCUACCCUGGACGUUGAUGUGUGUGAACUCACCUGGUGCCACCUAAUUACUGCUUUGUCUCAAAAAUAAAAAAAACUAAUUACUGCUUUGUUGACGUGUUUCCUUAUCCAUGUACAUGAGAUUUUUGUACUAAUGGUGCUCUGGGCCGGAGCAACUUAGAUGAAUUCUCUCUCUCUGCCUUUAGGUAGUCGGUUCCCUUCCCUUUUGUCCUAGGAGGACUUUGAAUCUUUGUAGGUGUUUGUGGUCAUGUUUUCAGGCUUCUUUCUGAAUAAAGCCGGGGAGCCCUCCUUGUUAAUCUUUUUUUUGGACGGUGAUAAGUGCCGAAUGUGUGGGCUGAAAGAGGUCAGGCCGAACGCCCUUGUGGCCACCCACUGCGCCCCGUCAGUCUUUUUAUCGCUUUUUUUUAUUUCAAUUCUUUUGGGUUUUUUAUUUUUAAAAUAUUUUAUCUCUUCGACUGAAAAUCUGUUUUCAUCAAUAAAUCUGUCUGAAAAUCUGUUUUCACCAUUAAAUUUGUCGUGGCAAGAUCUUUAAAAUUAGAUCUUAUAUUGAUAUGUUUCGACAAUAUUUUUAUGGUCAAAAGUUAUCACGUCUACGGUGCUAAAAUUGCCAUGGUGUUUAAACUGAAGUUGUCAUGAUAUGUUUCAACUAUCUUUUUUUAGGUUUUAAUGUAAAUUUUAACACAUUACAAAAUUCUCAGGUUUUAAAUUAAAUUUUGACGCGUUACAAAAAUUAAUUAAUUUUGCCAGGGUCGAAGAAGGUAAAGUGUAGACUACAUUUGCACUAAUCUCAUAAAAGCUAAAAGUGCCAAGAUCAAACAAAAAAUAAUUCUUUUCCAUUACCAUGUUACAAAAACAUAAAACAAAAAAUUGCGAUGGUGUGAAAAAAAGGAAACUAAAAAUUGUCAUGGUGAAUUAGUAAAAUUUGCCAUGAUGCAUGAACUAAUUUUGACAUGGUUCAUAAUUAAACAAAUCCGUCAUCAAUUACUAAAAAAAAACC